UAAAGAAAAUCACUUAUUUGCCAACGUGUUUGAACUUUGAAAUUACACGAGCCAUCAAGCUAAACCGGCAUCUUCAUCUCCCCUCAACCUUAUAUUAUGUACAAAAAAAGAUAAAAAGAUGGGGAUGGAUUUUGAGGAAAUAGAAAUAUUUACAUAUAUAGCUAAUAUUAAUGCACAAUUAAAAAAAUAGAGAAACUUCAAAUACCAUCAUGUGAUUUCGCACUUUUUUAUUUUAACAUUCUAUAAUUUAAAAUGUAUCAAUUUAGUACCCCGUAAUUUUAUUUAUUUAUUUUAUUAUUCCCUAUCAUUAAUUUUUUUUGUUAAAUUAAUGACAAAGUUAAAACUAAAAAAUACUAAAAUAAGUAUUCGAUAAAUGUAGGUGAAGUAUUUAAAAUUUUUUAUAUAUAAUUUAUCAAAAUGUUAAUGAAAGAGCCGACGAUAAGAGAAAAAUAUAACUAUAGGGUACUAAAUUGAUAUCUUUUAAAUUAUAUAAUAAUAUAAAAUAAAAAAGUGCAAAAGCAGCAUUUGAAGUUUCUCCCAAAAAAAAAACAAAAAAACAAAAAAAAAAAUGCAGCUAGUAAAACUGGUCUCUUCUGCCAUGCCACCAUCUCGACCUGCAAAGAUGCAUAGUAGUAGUAAUUGAGCGUUUAAGACGUGCUUGGAUCAUAAUGAAUAUAUAUAUAUAUAUAUAUAUAUAUAUAUAUAUAUAUAUAUAUAUAUAUAUAUAAAACACUAGUAGCUAGGAAAUCCAACGGAGUAGUAUAAUAAUAACACAAAUUAAGUUUUUGAAUUUUAUCCUUUUUGAAAGAACGCAGCGUACGCACGUAACUCGAUCGGAAGAGAGAAUAUAUAAUAGGGAUAAAUAAAUAAAAAUAUAUAGGUUAUAUACCAGUAAGAGUCCCAGCGCGGGGGCGGCGGAGGAAGGGUUUUGGCCAUGGGGUGGGCGGCGGCGUAGUACUUGGCCCGGCGGACGUUGCGCAGGGCGCAGCAGGCGAGGGAGUAGAGGAUGACGAGGAGGACGAUGGCGACGACGUUGAGGAGGGCGAGCUUGUGCCAGCCCCUCCUGACCUGCUCCAGCACGCCGGCCUUGCAGGAGUCGCACCCGUAGCACAGCACGCUCGCCGCGUUGCUCCACCGGUAGCAGUCCUCCUCCUGCCCCGCCACCGCCGCCCCCCCGCUGUACGCGCACGCCGUCGGCGGCUUGCAGCACCCCGACUGGACCGGGGUGAGGUCUCCACGGAGGUAGUCGGCGGGCGUCCAGGAGGCGAUCUCGGCGCAGGCGCGGGGGGCGGCGGCGCAGGCGAGGGCGGCGCGCCAGACGGAGGGGUCGGCGAGGCGGCGGCGCAGCCAGGGGGAGUAGUCGGAGAGGCGGUACUCGCGGUAGGCGCGCCCGGGGAGGGGGGAGCCGCCGCCGGGGCCGGAGACGGCGAGGCCGAGGGCGGCGGCGGCGAGGAGGGCGGCGAGGAGGAGGAGGAGGGCCGCGAGGUAGAGGCGGAGGGCGGCGGUGGAGGCGGAGCAGGCGCCGACGAGGCCGGCGAGGGAGACGAGCAUGAGGAAGGCGCCGAGGACGAUGAGCGGCACCGUGAGGAAGCGCUCGCACUCGGUGCCGGACCCGCCGCGGAGGAGGAGCCGCGCGCCAGCCACAGGCCCCACCCGAUCAGCGGGACCGACCCCAGCAGCGUCGCCGCGUUCACGUACCCGAUCGUCGCGUUGCUCAGACCCCCGCCGUACAUUCUCUCGAUCCCUGAUUCCCUUCCCUUCCCUUCCCUCCUCUUUCUUUUUCUUUUUCUUUUUCUUUUUCUUUUUUUUUUUAAUUUCUAUUCUUUUUCCUCACAUUCUCUCUCUCUCUCUCUCUCUCUCUCACAUUCUCUUGGUCGGAUUUUGGGGGGAGUUGUUUUGAGUUUAGGAACCACGUCCUAAUUAAUUACGCGCUCUCAGUCCCUAUUUAUUAAUACGACGACUUGCUGUGGGAGUGGGGGUUGGGGGAGGGUAUUUUAGGCCUAUUAGGCUUUAAAAUCCCGUGCUAUUACAUUUCAUUUAUUAAUAAAUUAAGAUUUAAUUUCAUACGGUCCUUGCAAACAUAGUGUGAAUGGUAAAUAUAUUCCUAUAAAGUUUAACUUUCAUAUAUUGCUCCUAUAAAAGUCCCGAUGUUUUUGAAUAUAUCUCUUUAGUUUGUUACCAUUAAAGAACCGUUAAAAAAUAAUUUGUAUCGUCAAUUUUUCCAUCACAAAUAUAUUACUCUUAAAAAAUUAUUUAUAUUUUUAAUUUUGUCAUCACAAAUAUAUCCCUCUAAAAAAUCAUAAUAAUAUAAUAUAAAUAAGUAAAAAUAUCACAAAAUAAUGAGGAUUAAGUAUUUAGCCAAUAAUUAACUAAAUUUUUCUAACGAAUUUUAACGAUAGGAACAUAUUUGAAAACGACUUUUGUAAGAAAAAUACAUAAAAAUUAAAAUUUAUAAAAAUAUAUUUGUUAUUCACUAUGUUUGGUGAGAUAAUGCGUGGGAGUCUGCAGUCGUAGAUGGGGCGGCUUGGUGCUUUUCCUUUUUCUUUUUUUUAAUCAUUUAUUGUGCGAGUCAUUCAUAUUGGUAAAAUGAAAUUUUAAAUGUUUAAUUGAAAAUUUAAAUUGGAUUCUCGUUUUUUAUUCAAAUCCAAAAAUCAAAGGACCGCCUCAAUUAUCUUUUCAGGUAGUAACUCUACGACCGUCGCUAUGAAAUUUUUGUUCUGUUUUCCGAAAAAAAGCGCUUCUAGUCUUGGAGACUUGGAUGCGACAAUUUGCUCUGUGUAUUUACUUUCUUAGUUAUUAUUUUUUUUAAAAAAAAAUUACAUAUUUUGCGGUUUAGAUUUUAACCAUUAAAAAAAUCUUGGCAUCUCUCGAAAUUCUAAAAUGGUAUUUCGACACAAUUUAGAUAAACAAGUUAUUUUAUAAUUCGCUUGAUAAAAUAGUAUAAUAUAUUUCACGACUAACAUGUGUUAUUAUACUCACAAGUAUUUAAGUGAAAAGCACAAGCACCAAGUUGUUAAUUUUAAAAAAAACAACUUUACUUUUUUUGUAUUAGUAGGCAGAGAUUGUAUUAUUUUUCCUUUUUUGUGUUUCGAAAAAGUAAAGAAUGUGUGGAUAACUAGUGGGUACUUAAACUUCAUGCAUUUUUUUUUUAGUGCUUAAGCCCAUUAUUUUUCCUUAAUCAUGAAGAAAAAUCGAAGGAUGGGGAGUGACCUCUUUUUUUCAAUAGGACAAGCUUUAUAGAUUCACUAAAGUACAGUCACUAUCUAACAUACUUCCAUAAAGUGGAAAACAAAAUAAAGUAGAACCUUGCUUUUAGGAGGAUAAGAUUAGAGACAUAGCAUGCAAUGUGUGUCUAAAAAGUACUUUAACAUUUAUCUUAUGUGUAACCACAGCUACCACACUAAUACCCCCAGUUCAAAUUUUAGGAAUUUCUAGGGUAUCUUUUUGCCCUGAAACAUAAAGCAUGUUGGAAAGUACUUUGUUCUUUACCAUGAUAAUUCUCUUAUUACAGGUGAAAAUGAUGUGUGCACUUAGUGCUCAAUAAUAGAUAGAUGCAUUAUUGAUUCAAGUUGUUCACACUCUAGUGCUCUUUAACCAAACUUGCAUGAACUUACUUGUUAAGAAAACUUACAAAUAGUACCUACCUUUGUAUAUUCCCUUUUUAUAAACCCCUAGGUGUUGCUUUUUCAGUGAUAUAGUUCUUAAUAAUAAUAACCAAUAAUACUUUCUAGUGAAAAGUUUAAGCCUACAUGUUAGUUCCUUACUAGCUCAGCUUUUUCUACAGCAACAGGAAUAGUUUUUAAGUCGAAGGUUCUAUUUUGUGUCUCAAAAUCUCAUUUCUCAAUUCAGGUUUCUUACUAAAGUGCUAAAUUUUUCUAUUUACCCAAUAUUUUACUAGAGUGAGUGUUACUAAAAGCACAGAUGUGGAACCAAAUAGGCACUUAGAACUGUUUCUCUACAUAAGAAGUAAAAGAUGUUCCACUGAUAAGACCUCUAAUAAAGCUUUUCACUAGAAUGAGAGGGAAAAAAGAAGCAGCACCUAUGAAAACUGCUGCCUCUAGCUGCACUACUAAUUUGAUAUGAAGUUUUGAUUCAGAAGUUAUAACCUCUCAAGCUUCUUGAGGAGCAUUAAUCUUACGAAAGCGAAUCAAAGCCAAAUGUACACUUAAUAAGUUGUAAUUCAUAAGGUCUAUCUAUCUUCGAUAAGGGGUAAAGCCAAAAGAACCAGUUUGAGAAGCCCCAUUGGGUGGAGGGUGGAAUCAGCAUCUCAUUCAAUUCCCAGCAAAGGUUACUUAUUUGAUGUUUCAUUGCAACGCUAAACAUUUAAAGUUACUAGAUAGGAACUCUUAACUAAAUCUCUAGGCAAUAGAUAAGAGUCAAAAGCGCGAAGAAGAGCAAGAGCGGAAGCCGUUUGGACCAACUUACAUAAGCACUUUUUUUCGGGGGGCGUGCUUCUUGAACAGUUUCUCCGCCGGAGAAGCAGUGGUCAGAUGAUCGAUAAAUAAAAGCAUGAAGGCAAUGCUAAUAAGGGUUACUGGAAAGUUAAAAUAAGCUGGAUAUGAUGCAGUUGGUUUUGAUGUAAAAGCUACCAAAGAUUCCUUGAACAACUCUACCUAAACCAGCAAUUCUACUUUAACUGAACAAAACUUUAUUGAAGAGAGCUACAACGAUAUCUCGGUUAAAUAGUUUGGAGAGCCGUCUAAUACGUGUCAUGCUUGAAUUUUGGAGUUUCAUUCCAAUCUAACAGUUUUUUUGCUGGAAUGUGAAGAGUGUAUUGGACGACGAAUUUAGAUAGGUCCCAAUAAAUGAGACUAAGUCACUCCUCGUUUGAGAUUCGGGCGCGGGAGGUGAAUUAUACGGCUCACCAAAUUAUCUCAGCAAGUCAUUGGAAUCCAUGCAUAAAUUCUGAUAUCAAACCCACAAAAUUCUAUGUAUAAUGCAGUUGAAGCAGGAAAAAACACUAUACAAUAGAAAUACAAGGACAAAUAAUUAGAAUUGAGGCAAGGAUAAUGAUACUGACAUUCAUGGUUGGUUGCGGCAUUUGAUCAAACAGGUAGCGUCUCCGUAAUAAUACCGCCUUCGUACCACUCGUCGAAGUCCCUCUCCACCUCACCCGCAGCUUCCCCCUCCCCCAAUCUCCUCAACCCUCGGAUCAAAACCCUAAACAAGUACUCGUCCCCGACGCAACCCCCUCUCUUCAUCCGCUUGUAGAGAUCCCUCACCGCCUCCCCUCUCCCCGCUGCGAUCAAAACCCUAACGAGCCGCGUGAGCUUCCACACGUCGUCCGAGGGGGAGAACCCCCCGCUCCCCUCCUUCUCCUCGAGCAGCUCCGCCACCAGGGCGUCGAUCUCCUCGGCGGCGGCGGCGCCCCGGGCCAUGGCGGAGGCCAUCUCGGCGUAGAGGGAGAAGUCGGGGUUGGUGUACCAGGUCUCGCGGCGCGCGGCGGCGAAGACGACGAGGGCGAGGCGCCACCGGCCCUGGCGCUGGAGCUCGGCCAGCGCGGCGAGGAGGUCGGGCUUGAGGAGGCGGCCGAGGGCGGCGGCGGCGGCGGCCGGGGAGGGGACGGCGCCGUCGCCGGAGAGGGCGGCGCGCUUGAGGGCCUGGACGGCGAGGAUGGCCUCGGUGCUGAGGGUGCGGCCGCGCUGGAGGGGGCCGCGGUUGUCGCGGGGCCCGCAUGUGAUGGCGAGGGAGCGAGUACUGGGGGAGUGUAGAGGGGAGAGGGAGGAGGGGACGAGGAAGAGGUUAGGGUUUAAGAGAGAGGAAAGCGCCAUGAGAGAGAGAGAGAGAGAGGAGGAAGGAGACGAGAGCUCGAACGAUGAAGUGAUAAAGGACUCUGUGAACUUUCUUUCGUGCACCGAGUGCACUCAUGCAUUGGUGCACCGUCCGCAUAUCAUCCGUCCAUCGUCGUUUCGCACUUUGAAAACCAACCGUCUAAAAUAGAGGAAUUCGAAAUGGCGCGGUGCACGGAUACAGAGAUGAACCGAGUGCAUUAAUAAUUUUUCCCACGUUAACACUUCUUAAUAUGCCACAUAAUCCAAUCUCAAAGUCAAAGUCAAAGUCAAAGUGAAAAGUUUUUUUUUUUUUUUUACCUCUCUUUUAGAAUUCCUUGUAACCUGUUCUUUAUUAUACGGGAUUAGUCGAAAUACCAGUGAAUGGAACAUGAAUCUCUGUUAUAUACAGAGUUCACUUUAUUAUUGAUUAGAUUUUUUUUUUUUUUGGGUUCAAAAAACGAAACAAUCUAUUCCGUUACCAGAUUAUGUCUUAUUUAUUACUUCCCAAUUGCAUAGGUUCAUAUCAUUCAUAGCAUGUAAGAUGCUAAUAAAAUACAAUGACAUAUAGUUUUCAAAUAAUUAGAACCCAAUCCUGGAGUUACACUGCUAAUUCAAAUUGCAUGUGCAUGCUGAUCAGGAACAGUAGCAGUAAGAGUUAAGAACAUAAUGCGUCUACAGAAGAAUCCAUAUGAAUAUCUACGCCCACAUCUGAAUCACUUUCUCUUGUGCUUAAUUAUCCAUGAACUGGGUUUCUCUGUUAGCAGAAAAAUAAGCAAAUGAGGUUACACAAAUAAAGAAGGAAAAAUGGAAAAGUUUUGAGCAGAGUGUAAAUCUUACAUCUCUACCGGCGUCUCUCUUUCGCCAAUUUGCCAAAUUGGGCCCUGUAGCGAGCACAUCAAGUUAGAAUACAACAUGCUAAAUUUUUAGCUCUAAGGUAUAAAUAAGGGCCUCUGCAAUCUUAUUUAGAUUCUGCAAAACGAGUAAAACUAUUCAAAAAAGUAUUAACAAUUCUUUUACUUAAAUCCAUCGACAGCGUAAGCGAAAGCUGUUUUCAGGAUCUUAUUUCAGCCUUUUGUGACAAUAAAAACUCUAUGUUAUUGCUUUUUCCCAAGUAUGCGACAAUUGCUUCAUAGUGUUAAAAAAAAAAAAAACAUUCCGGCACGGAGAAAAUGAAGUAAUACCUCUAUAAGGUAAUCCCGGAGGCGGUAAGGAGUGUGUUUCUGGCCCUUGGUAGUCGAUCUCGUAGAUCUCCGGCACUGCAGUAUCUUGAACAGAAGCUGUCGCAUAUCAAUUAACUUAAAAUCAGCUAAUAUCCUUCUAAUCAUUAAUUGCUCGUGCAAAUCAUUUUACCACCAAAUGGAAACCACAAAGAGUUGUAAGAAAACGAAUACAACAAAUAACAUACUGCUGAGAUCAAACCUGUAAGUUUUUUAUUUUUCUGACAAAACAAACCUGAAUAUACAGUUGACAGAGUCACUGCAAGAACCAAAAGGAUAAGAACAUAAACUCGAGAUCUUCGCGCCAUUUUCCACUACUCUCGACUUCGUAAUCGCCACGAGAGGAGGAAUCAAAUGAAUUAAGCCAUCACCAUUAUUAAGAGAGCAAGGUAUAGCUAGCAUAUGAGGCUGGUGAUGGUGAUGCACCAUUAAAUUAUGAUGCACCUGCACCACUAAUUAGCUAGAUGCUACAGUGGGGCCUGGUUUUACCGUAGGAUGCCAUGACCAAUUGNUCUCUUAAUAAAAAAAAAUACCUUACAUAAAAUAAUUUUGAUCAAGAAUGUAGGUAACAUCAGGGAUUAAUUUGUUCUGAUCGAGUGGAAGAUCACUGUUUUAUUUUGUUUUAAUUGUGAAAAAAAUGUUCUUCCCAUCACCUAAUUUGCUCGCAUCUCCUCACACAGUGUGAACAAGUAUUGUGUUUGUUUAUGAGUUAUGGUUGAAAUGUCAAUCACCACCAAUAAGCUUUUUAGUUAAUUAAUUAUUAUGGGCCACCUAUUGAAAGGAAUUCUUCUACUUUGAUCUUGGCAUGUUUAGCUUCUUCCUCUCGUGAAUGUAGAAGAGGCACCACACACACUAGACAAAGUACUGCAAUUGUUCUUAUAUCUACACAUUUAAGCUUGUGAAAGUAAUCUCUUUUCAUAUAUAUAUACCUUUUUAAGUUCUUAUGUAAAAAACCUGAUCUCAAGAGGAGGAAAUUAAAGUUGCUUUUGGGGUUUGAUAAGUCAUUUACAUAACAAUUCAAUUUUACAGUGCAUGGUAUAUAUAUAUGAAAAGAGAUUACUUUCACAAGCUUAAAUGUGUAGAUAUAAGAACAAUUGCAGUACUUUGUCUAGUGUGUGUGGUGCCUCUUCUACAUUCACGAGAGGAAGAAGCUAAACAUGCCAAGAUCAAAGUAGAAGAAUUCCUUUCAAUAGGUGGCCCAUAAUAAUUAAUUAACUAAAAAGCUUAUUGGUGGUGAUUGACAUUUCAACCAUAACUCAUAAACAAACACAAUACUUGUUCACACUGUGUGAGGAGAUGCGAGCAAAUUAGGUGAUGGGAAGAACAUUUUUUUCACAAUUAAAACAAAAUAAAACAGUGAUCUUCCACUCGAUCAGAACAAAUUAAUCCCUGAUGUUACCUACAUUCUUGAUCAAAAUUAUUUUAUGUAAGGUAUUUUUUUUUAUUAAGAGAAAAUAAUAGUAAAGUGAUAUAUAAGAGCCAUCUAGGACAUCGUGAAAGUCUGAAAGAGAAAUAAAUGAGAAAAUAGAAUAAAACAAAGCGACAAAAAGAAAAGGUACAUGGUCAAAACAAAUAAAAAUAAGCUAGUGAUGAUACACAUACCACAAUCUCAGAAAGUGUCGAAUACCAAAAAAAACCUUAUAGGAUUUCAUACUUACGUCUCUAUAACUAGCACUAUUCCUCUCCAACUAAAUUGUGUGUAGGAUAAAAUUAAUAUAAUUAUCUAGCAUGGAGUAAGUGCAACAUGACUUAAUUGUAAGAAGAUUUUUUAUAGUUUUAUUAUUAUUAUUAUUAUUAUUAUUAUUAUUAUUAUUAUAAGGUGCAUAGAUGAGCCAAUUGAGAUGUUGCUUAUCAUACGUUAAUUGGUCUCACAUUCAACAACAACAACAACAAAAAGAAAAGAAAAAAAAAACAUUUAUAUUACAAUUUGAAUCGUGAGAACCAAUCCUUCUAUAAUUUUGUUUGAGUUGGUGUUGGUACAUGUGCAAAUUGAUCCGGACCACAAAUGCGACCACCCAUGAAUACUAGUCCCGCACGCAUUUCCCUUCCCCUAAUAAGAAGCUACCCAUUUCCCAUGCCACUCUAUCUCCCCUCGGCAUACUAACGUUUCGCUGCACCUGGUGCAUAUGUUUUUAUGUACACCGGCUUUGCCUCUGUGCAAAUAUAUAUAUAUAUAUAUAUAUAUAUAUAUAUAUUCGUUCCUAUGAGCAAAGAUUUUUAAAAUAAGCUUCUUAUAAACGAAAGAUAUUAUUUCAAAAGAUUGAACGCGUGCCUUUUAUCGAACUAGUGAGUUUUAACUAGUUGUCAAAUUAUUUAUCAUUCAGGAUUUAAGAUGGAUGGAAUAGGAUAAAAAAAAUAAUGUUGACAUUUACUUCGGCCUAUAAGGUUAGAAUUGAAUAUGAUUGAUCUGGAAAAAGGAUCGGUUUCGACCCCUAUCGAUUAAAUGGUUAGAUCUACCGUUCCAGCGUAGGCUGCAUAGCUCUUUUAUUUCAUUCUAUUCUGUCUAAUUAUGAAUGCAGAGGGGAGCUUUGGAUAAGCGAUCUAUGGAAGUAGUCAUGAACCAAGUGUAGGCAAAAGUCUCAUCUGAGCUUGGAUUUUGCAAAAAAAAAAAAGAAAAAAAAAAGAAAAAGGAGGAUCAGCUUGUUCUUUGUUAUCCUUUCUUAUUGAGCUAUAAGUAUCCACAUCAGAAUGAAUCAUUCGACUUAUCAAGCUAUCUCAACUAAGAAGCUCCUCGGCUCGUCGUGCUAGUUUGAUAGAAAAAGUAUUCUCUAUACCAGAUGUAAGACAUAAAAUAUAUCUCAAUCAAUCGUACUAUCCUUUACUUUUUUUUUAUUAAAUCAGUAACAAAAUUAAACUAAAAAAUAUUAUAGUGAAUAUUCAAUGAACUAUAGGUGAACUAUCUGAAAUUUUUUUGUAUAUAAUUUAAUAAAAAGUUAGCUGUCCAAAAAAGAAAAAUCAUAAAGUACUAAAUUAAUUGACUUUAAAUUAUAAAAUGUUAAAGUGAAAAAGUGUAAAGUUAUAGGUGCGGUGUCUACCGUUCACUAUUUUUAAUAUAGUUUUUUUUUUGGGUAAUAAUACGAUACUUGUUGGAUGUGUUAUGAUGACGUCACUGGGUCUCUCCGACUCUAUCCGCUCGAGCAACUCGCCGAGUUCGGAAAAAUACGACUCCCUAUAAAUACAGCACAGACGAAAAAUAAAAAUAAAAAUUAAAGGAAAACUCGCGAAUCGGGUAACCAAAUCGAUCCCGCCCCGAAAACUCGCUAACAAAAUGCAGAGGCUCUCAUCGUCGCCGCUCCGAGCUGCGGCGGCGCUCCUCCACAAGCGGCGUCGGUGUCCGCAGAGCGCAAGCGCCGCCCCGUUCUCCACCUCCCUCCUCUUCGACGAUACCCAGAAGCAGGUUCCAAAAUCUCAAAUCCUCUCCGUAUUCGAAGAGAUCAACAAUCGCUGUUGUUGUUGUUGUUGUUGUUGUUGUUGUUGUUGUUGUUGUUGAUCGGAGGAUACGAUUCUGAGUUAGGUUUUUGUUUUUGGCGAGCAAAUUUUGAGCUCGAGAGCGCACUUUGAUCGAGCGGAGUUUGAAACGUUUCGUUUUGAUGCAGUUCAAAGAGAGUGUUCAUCAGUUCGCGCGAGAAAGCAUUGCUCCCCAUGCAGCAAAAAUUGAUGCAACAAAUCAAUUCCCAAAGGUCGUGUGAUUUCACAAUUUUUAAGAUAUUGAUUGAUGCAGGGUUACUAUUAUUCCUAUGAUAUCUGAUCAGAUGGUUAAUUUUACAGGAUGUUAACUUGUGGAAGCUCAUGGGAGAUUUCAAUCUCCACGGGAUCACCGCGCCAGGUAAAACCAUUGAUGUAGCAGGAUUAAUACCGCUUUCGUCGCGCACAUUUAGCUAGUUUUGUUAUCCUUUUAGGCAGUUAAUCCAUAUCCAUCUCUUAAUCCAUAUCCAUCUCUGUUACUAUUUUUCUGUUUUACAUAACAUCCAUGAGCACGUCCCAGGCGUUAUCGCUCCUUUUCCCCACAGAUAACUUAUAAUAACUCAUCUUGUUCAUUAGAGGAAUAUGGAGGGCUCGGUCUCGGCUACUCAUACCACUGUAUAGCAAUGGAGGAAAUUAGUCGUGCUUCUGGAUCAGUCGGCCUUUCUUACGGCGCCCAUUCGAACCUUUGCAUCAACCAAUUGGUACUGGCGUUAUAUUAUUAGACAUUCCUAUUAAUUAUUUUUCAGCUUACAGCAAUCAUAUUCUGGUACGCCAUUCCAGCUCCGUCGUGUUUAUAUGUAGGUGCGGCAUGGGAGCUCUGCGCAAAAACAGAAGUACCUUCCGAAGGUUUUGCUCCGAAACCUAUUUAAGUUUCAAUUUCUGAAGCAUAGCGAACUUCAUUUUCUUGAUAAUAGCCUCUUUUGUUGCCUAUUUUGCUGUGGCCGGAACUCUUUUUGUUCAGUUUCUAGAGGGUUGCUGAUGUUAGGUUGAGAACACGUCAUGCAAAUUUAUGACGUCUUUGAGAGCCUUCUCAUAUUUUUAGUCUUGAUCGAAACCAUAAAAUGUGUUAUAAUUUAUGAUCAGUAACUCAUUGGUGUGUAGGCAUUCACAUUUAUCUCACUGAUGUGUAGGCGUUCACUUUGUCUCUGGUCGUAACUACUUCCAUUGCUAAUAUGUUUUUCCCGAUAUUUUUCUCUGCAAGUAAGCACUUAUAUUGUAAAAUGACACAUUACAACCUGUUAGUGCGUAAAAUAUCUCUUUUUCAUGCUAACCUAAUGUACUUUUAUCUGAAGCUAAUCAGUGGGGAGCAUGUAGGGGCACUAGCAAUGAGUGAACCUAAUGGUAAAUGAAUAUUCUAUUUUUCAUUUCCAUGUGUGUCUUGGGUUGUUCCAUUGAUUGUGCGUAUGGUUUUGAAUUCACUUGUCCAAAUUUUCAGCUGGUUCUGAUGUCGUCAGUAUGAAAUGCAAAGCUGAUAAAGUUGAUGGCGGUUAUGUUCUGAACGGUAAUAAGAUGUGGUGCACUAAUGGCCCGGUGGCUCAAACAUUGGUACUCCAAUCAUUGACUGAUUCCUUGUCCUAGACUUGAUUUUUUUAGUAACAUAGCAGCAAGUAUCCACUUAUAAUUUAUUAGUGAGUGGUCACUAGUGUAUUAUUUUGCAACAUUUUGCUCCUAUAACCAGCUUGGUAAACAGAUAUUUGGAACUUGAAAGCCAUCUUUAAACUUAAAUGAUCUGAUGAAUAUGCAUCUACUUGCAAUGCUUCAAAUGGCUCACUUUAAGCUGUUAGAACUGUCAUACUACUGUCGUCUUAAUACAAUAUAUCAAUGUCUUUCAAUCAUGAAAGUCUUCCACCAGCAUUUAGUUAGUUAUUUCAUUUGCAUCGUGUUCAUAAAUUCAAAUUCCAUCAUUUAAGUUCUGGUUAAGUUAUCAUGUUUCGAUCACCUUGUGCUUCUCUGUUCUUCACAAAUAAGUUGGAUUUGGAGCAGGUUGUUUAUGCAAAGACAGAUAUAUCUGCUGGGUCCAAAGGAAUAACUGCAUUUAUAAUUGAGAAAGGGAUGCCGGGGUAAGUUCUAAACCAACUUGAGCUUGUGCCUUUUCUUAGGGAUGCUGAAAAACUUCUUUCAGCCCUUUGUCUCUCCCUUUCUUUGGUACUUAUGGAUUAACUCUUGUUGAAAAGACACUAUUUUAUUUUCACUUUUGAAUUCUGCCGCUAUAUUUCCUUACUAGAGUUUUUUUCCCAAAAAACAAAAGAAAAAGCAUGAGUAAUUGAACGGCUCUGUGAAUCAGAUAAUAUGACUUCUGUAAUUUCUGAAGCAGAAAAUAAAUGCUUAAAAGUUCAUGUGCUAUAGUUUCGAAUAAACUUGGUUCAUCGUCUAAAGAACACUUCAGUUGAAUUUAUUUUCAUGUGUUUCAGAUUCAGUACUGCCCAGAAAUUGGACAAACUUGGUAUGCGAGGGAGCGACACGUAGGUUAUCCUUUUUCAUCCAACAUAAUCCACUUUUAUAAUUUGCACCUCCGAAAGCAAAUUCCUUAUGCUUGUCUAUGGGCAAUUUUUUAUAGAUGCGAGCUUGUGUUUGAGAAUUGUUUCGUACCUGAAGAAAACAUACUUGGUCAGGAAGGGAAAGGUAUUCUCCUCAUUAUUAGCUAGUUAUUUAUGAAUUUGAAAUAACUUCUUGAGGGCCAAAAAAGUAUUGUCAGAGACGAUUUGUGCACCUUACAUGUCUUUGCAUGAAUUAUUGCUAGCUUAGUACUUCGUGCUUUAUCCAAUGUUUCGCGCUUUAUCCUAUUUUCUCACUAUUUUCUAUAAUCGACCUAUCUUGAUUCUUGAAUGAUUGCACACCAUAUUUUUCUCAUGAUAGGAGUUUAUGUCAUGAUGUCGGGGUUAGAUUUGGAGAGGCUCGUUUUGGCUGCAGGCCCCAUCGGCCUCAUGCAGUCAUGCCUUGAUGUUGCUGUUCCCUAUGUUCGCCAGAGAGAACAGUUUGGCCGUCCAAUUGGUGAAUUUCAGUUCAUACAGGUAUUUUCUUUUCUUUUUCUUUGUCCUAGUUUUACUUUUCUCCCAUUCCAUUUAAAUUUGCCCCUUUUGUUCAUUCUUUAACAGUCAGCAAGGUAAGUAUUCUCAUACAACCAAAGCUAAUAACCUAAAGUUUCGUCUAACAAUUUUUGGAUCUAAAUACAGGGAAAAUUGGCUGAUAUGUACACUGCCUUGCAGUCAUCAAGGUAAAUAUUCUCAUGCAACCAAUGCUAAUAACCUAAGUUUCAUCUAACAAUUUUUGUUUCUUUUUCUCCUUUCAGAGCAUUCGUGUACUCUGUUGCUCGGGAAUGUGACAGUGGAAAUGUCAACUCGAAGGUAUGUUUCACAUUAGUUCGUUCCUCUGUCUUUAUGCUUUGGAACUUAUUAUUAGUCAUCAGUCUUGUACAGUUGCUCUCAAAGUGUAUUUGUGUGAAGUUUAAAUUUAACUUCACAAGUUGUGAAGUUCCAUUUAGUUUGUCGAUUUUUUCUUUUUUGUGGUAUAAUGUUAUUUGAUUGACUUAACUAUUGAAAGUAAGCUCCAGAUGUUCAUUGAUUUUUAGUUACUCGUUGUAUAUCUUUGGUGCCUAGUAGUAAAGUAUUCAGAUUAUUUUAGUCUAUUAUUCUCUUUAGAAACUCAAAUUCAUCUAAAUUUGCAUGAAUACUUUUUAUUUAGGAUUGCGCAGGAGUUAUCCUUUUUGCUGCUGAAAACGCUACUCAAGUGGCUCUUCAGGUAAAAAGAAGCUUUCUUCUUGUGUUAUUUUCAUUCCUGCUGCACUAAUUGUUUCCCGAUUUCACCUUGAAGGAAAAGCGCAAAGGCAAAAUUUGCUUGCCAUAUUGCUAGAAUACACAACUACUAAGAAAAUUCAAAUCAUAGAAGCCACUUAAACCACACUGCUUUAGCCUUCCUCAGGCUCCAUGGGGUCUAAUCUGUUUUUCUUUUCUUUUCUUUUCUUUUUUCAAAAUCAUCAUAUUUCUGGCUGCCUGUGGCCCUGUGCAUUUGAUUUCCAUAUAAUAAUACCCUGUUUUCCACUACUAGUGUUUUUACAUCGAUUUAACAUAGCCAUCUUUCAAGACUCGGGCAAAUUUAGUUGGCUUGUAUUAUGUAGACAUGUUUCUUCUGCUGCUCUAAGUUAUUAAUUCCUUUUGAUGAUAAAAUGAAGGAUGACUUGUUACUGUCUUCUGAAUUAGCAGCCUAACGUACACACUACCUAGUGCAGCGCGAAGCACUCAGAACCUUAUGUUGCUACAAAAAUCGCCUUUUGAUUUUUCUGCAAGUCCUUUCCGCCUUGAAAAUAUUCAAUCAAGCAAUUGCCUUGUAUCUCCUGAUAUUCAGUGUCUAAAGACUAUCAUAGUCUCCCAAACAUUUCCAUUCCUAUUCACUGCACACACUCACUUGUACUCUUACUUCUUUGCCUGUUGGAUUCAAAAAGGGCACAUAGAGACUUAAAAUUAUUCUUGAUUAGUGUUAUUGAUGAACUAAUUUUACAAGAACGCAUAGUUAAGAGGAUUCUUUCUGAGAGUGCAUUGAUAUAAUAUUUUCUUUGCAGAUGCUUAAGACCUAUUCGUGAUUUGAAAUUUCUGUCAUUUAUUGCAGGCAAUACAAUGCCUUGGUGGCAAUGGGUACGUUAACGAGUACCCAACUGGUCGCCUUCUGAGAGAUGCUAAACUAUUCGAGAUUGGUGCGGGCAGUAGUGAGAUACGAAGAAUGAUCAUCGGCCGUGCGCUCUUCAAAGAAGAAUGAUGGAAAAAAACAGUGCCUGGAGGUGAUGAUGAUAAAUUAUCAUGAGAACCUCCAUGGGGAUUAGAUUUUGAUGGAACUACAGGAUACAAACGCUUGAUUUUACUCCUCAUAUUGUUCCAUCUGAACAACCUGUAUUUGCACUUUCAAGAGCUCCCUCUCAAUACACAAUAAAAUAACUAACUUUGAUCCAUACGCAUUUGCAUGCUACAGUACACAGGUGGAUAUUGUACAAAUUCUAUGGAAAUGAAGCCGUUGAGCAAGCAUUUAUUGGCUAUACUACGACCUGCGUACUAAGUUCUGGUAUGGUACAUGAAAUUGACAAAUUGUCCAAAUAAAGUGCAGUAUAAGCUACGUAGUCUAUUUUGUAGAUCAUCUUCGGUGAGAAUUAUAAAGCAGUAUUUUAACAUGUUUCAUAUGGUUUAAACAUGUCCAAUUACUUGGUUCGCAUGCGGUUGCCAUAAACAAGACCAAGAAUCUUGGUUUAAGGCGAUCAGAAAAGGUGAGGCUUUUAGUUGAAGAAAAGCUUUUCCAAAAGAAUGAAGAAAAUUAUUCACAUAGCCACCCGGCGCAUUGCGGGGGAAGGCUACAUUGUCAUUGCUGUUGCUGUUGCUGUUGCUGCUUCUGUAGUUCUAUAAUAAAUACAAUAAAAAAAGAAUGCGAAGAUUGGAUCUCACAACAAACCACUUUCAUUCUGGGAUCUCUGGUUGCGUCUCGAAUUAGAGCCCCAUUCGAUGGCCUGCGCGACGGCACGCUCACGCUCGAUGGCGCUCUCCUCUUCUCUCUUACUAUCAUCACUUUGAUUAGAAACUUCUAAGGUUUGGAACUGAGACUGAAGAAUCGAGGUUCCGUUGUGAUCAACGGAGGACGCCGUGAGGAAACUCAGGGCCACCACGACGUCGGUCAUUAAAGGACGGACGGAGGCCUCCUCUUGAAGGCACAUCGCAGCCACUGCUACCGCUUGAUUCAGGCCCCUCUCCGGGUAGUCCCCUUCUAGGAGCGGAUCGACGAGCUCGAUGUACCGCUUCUGCUCUUUGAACAUGGGUUGUGCCUGCAAAAAUGCAGAGUUACAAACGAGGGUUACACGGGAGAACGAAAUAAGGAUAAAUAACUAAUCCAAAACUAAUAAUGCAUUACAAGUUUAAGAGGAAAUUUUUUUCGUAGUAGUUAAUAAUGCAAUAUGUGCAAGCCAAUAUUAGAAAAAGGAAAAGGAUUUAUGAAACAUACCCAAUUUACAAGAAUCUGCUCGUCGGCCGGUCGAGUGGUGUCAAUAGCUUUUCUUCCAGUAAUUAGCUCAAGCAAGACAACUCCAAAGCUAUAUACAUCCGACUUCACAGUUAAUUCGCCGGCUCUUGCAUACUCUGGCGCACAGUAACCGUAAGUUCCCAUCACCCUCGAGGAUACGUGCACUUUGUCUCCGACGGGACCAAGCUUGGCGAGCCCAAAAUCAGAAAGCUUUGGAUUAUAUUCUUCAUCGAGUAAGAUAUUUGACGAUUUAAGGUCGCGGUAAAUCACAGGCGGGUUAGCCUUUUCGUGAAGGUAUUCCAGGCCCUUAGCAGCACCAAAAGCUAUUUUCAUUCUGUAAUACCAGCUUAAUGGCUUCUGAUCAGUAGAAAUUUCUGCAGCAAUAAAGGAGUGCAUGAUUUACGAUCGAGUUUAUACAUAUAUAUAUAGAUAGAUAUAUAUAUGCAGAAGCACUUCGUAAACAUGGAAGUAUGCGUGCAUUUGAGAAGUGCGACAGGAAUAGAACAAAUACGAAACAAAUUUGGCUGAUCCAAAUAUAACAUACCAAGCAGAUGGUCUUCAACUGAACCCAGGGGCAUGUACUCAUAAACCAGAAGCCUUUGGUCUCCAUCCGCGCAAUAUCCAAUAAGCUUGACUAGGUUGGGAUGGUGCAGCAGGCUGAGCAUCAGAACUUCUACGAGAAAUUCCUUGUUACCUUGCAAGCCAUUCUUGUCCAGUUGCUUCACAGCUACAACCUUGGCGACGGCGACACGGUGUCAGGAAACAAACAAACAUCCGCAAGUGAGUAAAUAUCUGAGUUGGCUUUUCAAUUGCGCGAACUAGUAGUUAGGCAUUUAGCAAACAUAUACAAAAUCUUUUAAGAUAUUUAGAGAAAAAGAAGAACCAAGUACCUGCUUAGUGUUGGCAAGGCGCCCUUUGUAAACUCUUCCGAAACCUCCUUCACCAAUAAGGCAGUCGGACCGGAAAUUCUUUGUAGCCGUCGCGAGCUCUCGGAAUGUAAAUAUCUGCGCAGCGAUGUUCCCAUUGCCGGAUUCUCUUUUCGCUGUUCUUUCUGGUGAAGCCCUUUGUACAGGGUUCUCUGCACUAGGAGCUACAUGUUAUGUUUGAUAUAUAUCUAAACGAAAAACUAAAUCAAACAAUUUGAUGAAGAAAAGUGUGAUUAAAAUCAUUAAUAACCAACCAACUGUUUUUUUUUCUAGUGUCAAUCUAAUGGACUAAUUUUUAAUUUGAUAAAAAAUAGUCGAUUAACGUAUUUACAUUUCCAUUUGUCCCAGAAAGUUUUCAUUUUGUGUGGAGUAAAAAAAUAAAAUAAAAUAAAAAUUAUUGAUUAUCAAGUGUUACCAAGUCAAUUGUUGCAUUUAUGAUGCUUUUUCCACCAAAUCGAAUAUUGUGGCCGAAUUUAGUUGUUUGCGCCAAAUCAAAUUUAAGAUAAUUCGACGAUUUUUGGCACCAUAUGAAGAACGCGGGGGAAAUUGUAAUUGAAAAAAAGGUGCAGUUUUUACCAAAGUAAAUCCCGUGGAUCGAAUUGUUGUUAGAAGAGAUUAGAGGAUAUUUGUGUUUCUAACCCAAACAACUGUAAACCAGUUUGUGCAUUAAUUCAAUCAAACCAACAACAUCUCACCAGGUUUUUUGGGCAAUUCACUCUCCCUCUUCGAGACGAACACUGGCGCCGUCGACGCCUCCCUCUUCGAGCCGAUCUUCUUCGCCUUCUUCUCGCCCGACGUGAAACAAGAGAAGCAGCUCAUCUCUCAUCCAAUACCCUAAACUCAACCCUUUCGUCUCUUCCCGUAAUCACUCAAUCCCCACACCAAAUCACCCAAAUCAUAGCCGAAAGAAGAAAAAGAAGAAGAAGAAGGAGAAGAAGAAGAAGAACAAAUUAACCUUAAUUCCCAACAACCUGUUCGGCGAAAUGCCAACAAGAAAACAAUCGCCAACUCAAUCGAGCUCCGAAUCCAACGAACCCUAGAACGAGAGAAGGGGGGGUCAGAGGGGAUCGUUUCAGAGUGGGGGAUCGAUCGAAAAGAGGGGGAAGGGAAUGGGGAAGGGGCGAUUUUGAAGGGGAUUGACUCCGAGAGAGGUGGGAGGGGGUUGGAGAGGAGAGAGACAUGUUCGAUGGCGCCGCCCAUUUCUCGGACCCGAUAAAGCGCGCGAAAAAGUUUCGAACGAAACGAGGGUUUUUUAUACCCCCGACGAAUACCGUUGGAGGAUUUCGUUGACUCUACGCUCCAACGGUCAAACAGUUCUAAAUUGCACUACAGUCCCCCUACUCAUACUUCGUUUGAGAUUGUGCUAAAUAAUACAAUGGAAAAAUAUCAUAUUGGUUUUCAUACAUUAUAUCACAUCCCGUUCACCACCCGCAAUAUAUUUUCGUACAUAAUAUUAUAUUUCGUAUAUCACAAUAAAAACUUGGGUAGAAUACUAUUAAUAGCACCAAGCCAUUGGUGCUAUUAGUUUUUUAGCUCUUGGAUUAGGAAUUGUGUGGUUAGGAUGAUGUGGGCUCUUUAAGGUUGAGUGGGUGGUUGGUUGAAUAGUAUAAUCUAAUGGAUAAAAAUAAUCAAAGAAUUAAAUCUAACAGUGAAAAACUCGAUAGCACCAAGUCCUUUGUGCUAUCAAUAGUAUCCCAGCCGAACUCAUCACAAUAAAUUGAUUAUCAUAUAUAACUUGACAAUUCUACUGAAAAAUUAAAAAAUAUAUAUUUUAAUAUACUUUUCACACUAACUCCGUUUUGCUUAAUAGUGCUAAACGACUCUGGGCACUUUCUCCUCAAACACAAGAAGUUGAUCACUGAACAAUUUAAAAUUUCAAAAAUCUUUCAUUUCAUUAAGUUUUCUCAUUAUUUGUUGAGAUGUAGCAUUAUUAUUAUCUAAAAAUUAGAUAAUUGAAUCGACUAUACGACAUAAAUAGCAUCAUGAAUUUAUGAUGCAGAGUAUUUACUUACACAAUGGAUACAUGCAAACCUUCGUGGUGCACGAAAAUUAAAGUUUCUUUAAACCUUUCGGCGCAAAAAUAGGACCGCUCGGUGUAGCAGCAAAUAAGCAGCUUAAAUUUCCUUUACCGAGUUUUGAAUUGUAAUCGAGGGGCAUAAAUUUUGACUCAUCUAAGAUUCAAUAUUCUUAUAGAAAUUACAGAGCUCAAAUACAGAUGAACGUGGUUCAUUCAAAAGUAUGAGACCUCUGAGGUGCCUAUCCUGCUCCGAAAAAUGGGUUAACCGUAAUUACAGUGGUAUCUUCACAUUCCCACGUAAAAAGAUGAAUUAGAAACCACUAAAAAAAAAAAAGGAAGAAAAAAGGUAGAGUGUGGUGUGUUUCAUUCCUCUUCAGUGGAGUCUUCGGUGGAGUUAUACAGCAUUGUUUCUUCGAAGUACUCUUCUGGUUCUGGCGGUUCUGGCGGUGACAAUUCAUCCGCUUCCGAUGCUAGUGUGAGAGGGCCUUGCGGAAUGCCGAAGAGAGUCGAGAAUAUCUGCCUGUGGCACUCAUCGCAGAAGCAAAAGUACGAGAAGUGGCCUUCGCCAAGUAAUCUGUGUACCGUCGCUCCGGGGACCACGCGCCGCACGUAUUCGGUCACAGAUGGCGGCACCACCCGAUCAUCCAUCCCCUGCAUGAAAAAAAAUCAGCAAUUUAGAUCACAGCAGAAUGUUUAAGUGUUUUCUCUUUUUUUGGUUUGGUUCCUCGUUAUCCUUCGAACACGAUGAUGUUUGACGGAGAAAAUUAAACAAAAAAGGUGGUUCAAAAUUCUCAUGCCGUUGAAAGAUCGAUUCAUAGCUUCCGAUCCCUCAAAACAGUAAGCAAUCUAAAUUACUAUAAAACCAUAUAAAUUAUUAUGCCAAUUGUGAACAAGCGAAACAUGCAUAUGGUAGAGCAUUUGAGAAAUCACAUACGGACCUGCCAGAUGUGUAUUGGGCCAAGAAAUCCGACCCACUCGCGUUCGACCUGAAUGUACAAGGACUUGAGCCAUGAUAGCAGGCCUUUUCCGUCUUGCUGCUUCUGCACUUGGAUGUCGGAGAGGCUGAAGCCCCAGUUAAAAACUUGUAACAUGGCUUCUUCCACAAACGGUCUUGUGUCCCCCUGGCGAACUGAUUCUGCGACAUCCUUUUCCCAGAACUCAGUAUAGAUAGGAUCUUCCAAUAAAGAUUUGUCCUGUGGAAAUGUACGCGAUUUUAGCAGUUGCAGUACCUUUCUUCCAAAAAAGAUUCAAAAUCCUGAUAGCUAGAGCAUUCAAAAUCUAGUGAAAGAAGCAUCUUAUCAAGAAAACUAAUGAGUAAAAGAAAUCACAACUGCAACUAAUAUUACACUCUUGCAAGUUGAUAUUUUUGCAAUUAACAAACUUUAGUGUGGAUUGAAAUAUCUGCCUGCUAAGCACCUUUGUAGAUGAUUAGACUAAAACGAGAUUUGGUUGCAGAAUUGGUAAAGCUAGUGUUUGAAAUACCUUCUUCCCUACAGACAAUGAUAACCACCUUUCUGGCUGACCUUGUUUUCCAGAGAGGAAGCUUCGUCGGUAGAAGAAACCAAGAAGCGAAGGAAACCUCCGAGCCAAAACAUACAUGACUUUCCUUUUUGCGGUCCACUUCUCCCAUGUUUUAUGCCUCUCUUCUUUGGUCAUGCCGGAGUCAUAUGGAUUCACCAUUGGUGCAAACAUGGCUACACCUGGAAGUGAAGUUGAAAACAAUGGAAUCAAAAUAAAGUUGUGAUCAAUGCAGAAUAAUGAAGGUAUUGUAACAAUUAGGCUGUAGUCCACUAAAUUCUUAAGCACACUUCCUUAUUGAAGUUUAUGGGAAACUCUGCAUCAAAUUCCACGAAGAUAUAAACUCGGUUACUUUAGGAGACAAUUUUUUGCCAGAGGUUGUUUUAUUGGACUAAGUUUAUAAAUCAAUCUUGUCAUCUACCAAAUUGUAUUGGAAUAUUGCUAAUAUGAUUUGAUUCCAGGCGUAACUUCUACAUUUCAAUCUCAUUUCAUAAAAUUCCAAAUAUGUUCAACUUGAAUAUGUAAUUCACAUAUUCCUAGUAGCUAGUGAUGCCUUUUUUCAACUAAAGAACAUGAGUCAAGGAAACAUAAUUUUGCAUUACCAACUGAAAUGCAUGCAAAGCUUGUUUGAAAGUAAUAGAUCACUAGAAAUGUAUUCUGAAAUUGAUGGAAAAGCUUUCGCUUGGAAAAUAUGAAAUAAGUAGAAAAGUCAAGCUGGUGUAGCCUCUCCUUCUUUAGAAAGGAAGACAAAGUGACAACUAACAUUUAUCCAUUAAUUCAACAAAGUGAAUACGAUACCUACAGACUCUCCAGUCUUAGGGAAGAAAAGCAAAGAGAACAGCAUUUAUCUGAGAUGCAUCACAACAUCAUACCAGCACUCCACUAUGAUUUAUCAUUGCAUGCAAAUAAAGGUUGUAAAAAAUGAACCGCUCUACUAAUAAAGGAACUAUACUUUCUAGGUUAUGAAAUGCACGAGAUCAGGCAAAGAACACCAUGAAAAACAACCUGCCAGUCUGUCAGGAAUAUAACGAACAGCUGCCCAUGCAUGCAUUCCCCCGCUUGAAUAGCCUACCACCCAGAACUUGUCCAUGACCCCAACAGCAUCUGCUAAAUGAAGCAUAUCGAAAGCAGAUGAACUGAGGUUUCUUCCAGGAUGAGGAUCACUUUCGCCAAAACCAGGAAGGUCGUAAGUAAUCAAUCGGACACCAAAUUCUUCCAAUAGAGACGCUUUAACGCCGGGUAUUCCUGUACCAGAAAUAUUAUAUUAUAAGGACUCGUCCUGGAACAAACAUUUAUGGGGACAAAACUAAAUUAGAAGAACAUAUACCUGCUAGUCGCGAAGAAAGAAAAGAAUGUGGGGCAAUCAGAGAAAACCUAGCCCUCUCAGGGGGGAUACCUUGCUCCUCAUAAGCCAGAUACCUUCCAUCAGGAAGUUGAAUUCGGUUAGCACUGGGAGGACUUAUGUACAGUUUCUUCGGUGGUUGAACUGAAGCCUCACUUCUCGUAUUUACAUUUAAUACUGCACAAAAAUUCUCAUGAAUAAGGAGCAGAAACAGCAUGGCAGAAGUACAGAACUACUAAUAUUUUUUCUCACCGAUAGCACAAGCUUAUAUGCAUAUGCAUAAUAUCUCAUCUCACAUUUUAAAAUAAACAGACAACGUAAGUUCCACUAUCUAAUCACAAUUAAAUAGAAGAGAGACAAAUUGAAAAUGAGAACAACAGCUUUCUCCUUACUGACAGAAGGAUUAUGCCACCAACAACAGAUCGAUGCUCCACAUGCUUUUCCUUAAUAUCACAUCACUUAUUAUGGCGCACAAAGCAAUACUCCAUUUUAAAUGACGCGAUCAACAAUGAAAAUUAUGUAAGCAAUUAGUCAACCAAUCAAGAAAAUUGAACUGUCAUGUAAAGUAAAGGUGGUUGAAAAUUCUGGCAAAAGGGGAAAUUAAAGGACAGUGAGUAGCACUACUGUUAUAAUCCACACAUUGAAGAAAUUAACAAAAUGAAUAUCCUAGAAAUUGAACUGAUAAUGCUGUUUCAAUAUGCGCAAAAUGUAGGUAAAUAGGAUAUUAACAUAAGUAGUUUUCUUGCAUUUCUUUUUGCAAAGCAAUAGUUGAUUAUUCUAACAAGAAUCAAGUAACAAAUUUGUCCCUCCAAAUUCAUGCUCCAUCAAACAAUUAAUUCCUUGAAUUCACAAAAGAAAAGACAGUAGCAUCAUUCACAGGAUUUGCUCACUCUCUAGAUGAAAAGAAUGAAAAGGGACAAGAUUAAGCAUUUACAAUCUAUUAAUCUCAACUAAUUUUGCUCUCCUCCUCUAACUCAUCCCAAAAGCAAAUCCAAUUAAUGAACCAACCAAUUCACGGCGCCACGACAUUACCUGUGAGUGCGAGGAGGAAGACGCCGAUGACGACAGGCCACGCGUGCGUGGGAUCCCGAUCCUCGGGCAGGUACUCGUUCAAGAAGCUGAGCCUCUCCGCCGCCGCUGCCGCAGGCCCCCGGAUCUUCUUGACGACGUACGUGUCCUCCGCACCCUCCAAACUCUGCUGCGCGAUGUCCCAACACCCCUUCCCGAGCUCCCGCAGCAUCUCCCCCGUCGACGACAAGAACCCCUUCACCUGAUCCUUCAAGCUCUCCUCCGCCACCGCCUCCUCCGCCACCACCGUCGCCGACGCCGCCACCGCAGCAACUCCGUCGUAUCUAUAAAACCCGUCCCCCAAAACCCUACCUCUCAGAUCCCCGAUCUCCCUCUCCUCCCCCACCACCACCGCACCACCAUCGUACCUGUAGAACCCCUCCACCUCCCCCAAAACCCUACCUCUCAGAUCCCCAUCGUCCCUCUCCUCCUCCACCUCCGCCUCCCCCGCCGCCGCGUCCAUUCCGUACGCGGCGGAGUAUCGGAUCCCGGUGUCGCCGACGAGGCUCGCGAGCUCCUCGUGCCACGUCAUCGUCCCCCCGCCGCCGCCACCCGCCGCCGCCGCCGCCGCCGCCGCCGCCAUCUCCGCCGCCGAAACCCUACCCUCACGAUCGCGGAGAAGGGCGGGGGAAAGAAAAAGAAACUACUAGAAAUAGAACCGACGCGACAAUUCGCACCGCAGCGUAGCGUGCAUCAGAAGCUAAUCAGCAAGAAAUGGACGGACGAGAUCCCGCGCGGGCCGAAUCGCCGUAGGUUUUCGCCAACUCCUCGGCAACCACCAUUGAUCGGGGGGCCACAGUCGCUUUCGCUGACGCGGACUCGGCGUGGACGGGGCGAGGAGAAAGACGGGGCGGAGACGGCGACUCGCGAUCGCGGCGGAUAAAAAGUCGGAGGGGUACGUCUCCGCUCCACGGAACGUUAAUUCCGGUGUAACGCUUGUAUAUCACUACCCGCUCGAUGUUGACACGUGAACGGCCGAGACGUGGGUCCCACGUGUCAUCGGGUACGCGAUUUGUAACCGUUGCGUUGCGUGGCUUUGGUCGAGAUCGACGGUGGAUAGCGUAGCCACGUCGAUCCUGCGGUCGUGCUACGGCGAAAUUGCAAGUGCACCCGCGCGGUAUAUUCAAAAGCUCUAUUAUAGUGUUGAAUAUUAAAUUAAAUAUUAUAAAAUAAUCAGUCCUCUUCAUAGCUUAAGGUUUAAAACAUAUAUAUAAUAAAUAAUUGAUCGUUACACAUUUGUUUACAUGCUAUCCCGAGAAAAAAAAUUUGAAUCUCACUGAACUUUUAAUCUUGUUUAAUUUUUUCUCAUUUAAUUAAAAUUUAUUGCAAGUCUAUUAAUAAUUCUUUAGUUCAGAGACGAGUGAAAUUGUUAGAUAUAAAUAUUAAUAACAUUGUUCUUUACAGUGUAGACAUUGAAAAAAGAAUAAUUGAUUUGGAUUAUUGAUACUAUCUAAUUUUCAUUAAUUUUAUAUUUUUCUAUGUGUUGACUAUUUAAGUAGUUCUAGAUUAUAUUUAUAAAAAGUUAAUAACACCAUUGACCUCCAACUUUUAUACCAUUUUUUCUUAUUUAUUUUUCAAACUUUUUAGUUUUUAUAAUUUAGCCUCAAACAUUUAUUUUUAUUUAAAUAAAGGCUCGUUUAUCAUAUCAUAUAUUAUCUCAUUAAUUAAGAUUAAAAUUACCAUAUAUUGGAACUAAAAUAUGAUAUUGCUAGAUCAAAUAUUGCCAAGUGGCAAUUCUCCUCCAAAUUAAUUGAUUUGUCACGAAAAAGAAAUUAAUACAAAGGUUACAGGUUAAAACAAAAAAAAUGGAUAAAUAUUGAGGAUUUAGGAUAUCAAAAUUAUCCAAUGUUAAGUAUGGCGCAUCAAAUAUACGGGUACACCCGGUUCAAGCAAUAAUUAUAUCGGAAUAAUGGGAGUUAACGGCCAGCGUAUCGGUUACGACGUGGCAAGUGGGGGUGGGGCCCACAGGAGACCAAAUACACGACCCCAAACACCGAAUCGAAACCACGACUCGGGGGGUACGUGGCACGAAAUUAGUGGCGGGCGUACGAAAAGAGAACGGGAGACGUGGAAAGCGCGGGGAAUAAGAAGAGGAUUCUUGGGCGGUGGGGCGCAUCGGGAGUCGGGACGAUGCUCCGAAUCCGCUGUACUGCUCCCCCGUUCGACUCCCGUGGGUUCAUUCAGCAAACAGCGGUUUCCACCAAUGAUUCUCUUCCACGUGGGCAUUAAAUAGGUGCUUAGCGGGUAAUUAUCCGAUUCGUCGGUAUUAUUAAGGGUGAUGGGCCGUGGGCCCAGUCACGAGCCCACCACCGAGUAUAUUUCUCGUUUCCAUAAAUUGUUUGGUGGGACGUCCUUUUUGGUCCGUAGGAUUUGGAUCGGACUGAUGUGAUUCCUUGGAAAAAGGAUUCAAGAGAUUGAGAGGGAUGGUUUUUUUUUUUUUUUUUUUUUUUGGAUUUUUUUUGAGAUGGGUCUCNAAAAAAAAAAAAAAAAAAAAAAAAAAAGAAAAAAAAAAAGAGGAGCAUAAAUUUUCUAUUAACUUGGCGCAAAAAAUGGCUAACAAAAUAUUUGAAUUUGGGAUCAUUGGGGUACUUUCAUGGUACUCUUAACAAAGCUAUUGAGUCAAAAGAAAAGGUGAAAGAUUAGGUGGUUGUGGUGCAACCAAUUGGACGGUUACAUAACAAGCAUGGGAAAAAGAGUAGGAUUUUGCUGUUGUUGUGGUUGUGGGAGUGUGGGCUAAUUAUUAGUGAUAGUAUAGCCCCAUUAAAAUAAAGUAGCAGGGGCCCUUUUGAUUUUGGAGAUAAAUGAUGAUGCAUGAGAUAAGAGAAGGUGAGGUGUCUCUUUGCUGUAACUUAAAAAUUGGUCAAAAUAUACACAGAAAGAAAAAUUCUUUUCUUUUUUUAUGAUGACUCGGAGAUGAUGAUGCAGAUUCCCAGAUUCGGAAAAUAUAGCAUCAUCAUCCAUAUGAAAAUAUCUCAUGUACUCACAAAUUUAAAAUAUACACCGAACUAAACAUAAAAAAAAAUUAAUGAAUCGAUUAAUCAACGCCUAAUUUAGACCUCGUUUACCAAUAUAUUCUUUAAAUAUUUGUAAAUAAAAAUUUGUAUAUUAAAAGAUGAAGCAGUGAAUAGUGGAUUGCUUAUCUAAAAUAUUAUUUCACAAAUUAAUGCUUUCAAUUUUUUAAAACUAAAAUUGUCACCCAUCACUUGACUGAAUAAACAUUAUAACAAUGAAAAAAUUCUUCUAGCAUAUUAUAUUAUAUAGAAUUAGCGUUGAAACCAUAUGCGACCUCAAUAAAUUUUUUAAUAAGUUGAAUAGAAAAAUUUAAUUGAAUUGAACGAUAGUUGAAGGUCCAUGCGGAUCUUUUUCUUAGGCUUCGUUUGAGAUUACCCGGAGAUUGCGUUAAGAACGGUGAGAAUGUGCGUUGAUCCCACCGGAGAACGCAGAAUCAUAUCUUUACAUAUUUUUUUUCUACAUUUUAUCUAAUAGAUAGGCUUCAAUUCCAAACUAAGCCUUAAAAAGUAGGUGGUGGCUUUAAUUUACGUGCUGCUGAAUUGGAUGGAGAAAGCAUGGAAUUAAAAAAUUAUUACAUGCACCGUCUUUAUCUAAUUGUAACGUGGGAAGGUUCUAUCACCCAUUCACCCUCCGAGGCUUUAGAGUUGGCAUUAUCCACUGGUAGGGCUGGCAAAUGAGCGAGCCGGCUCGCGUUCGACCCAUUCACCCUCCGAGGCUUUAGAGUUGGCAUUAUCCACUGCCACUGGAGUGGUUAUGGUGGUUGGAGUAGCAAUCAUACAAUUUCGUUGCAUUGUAAAGAAAUUGUGUUUUUUUGGGAAAAAAAUAAUACAUUCUCUUCUUUAUUUAGUUGUUUGUAUGAUGUUUCAGAGAAUUAUUUCCUUCUACACGUACUUCAAAAUUAACUGCAUUAUCACAACAUGAAUAAUUGUAGACUAUUAAACAGUUGUGCGAGGUUAGAACGUAUUUCAAAGGUUGCUCAAGCAUUUAGAUUUAUAGUUGAAUUCUCUCGUUGAAUACGCAGACAUUUAAAUUAGCAAAUCUAAUGAUGUCUCAUGUCUCUCAGUUUGUUGAACUCAUCAAAUUGAAAAACAUGUUGUGAUUCUUAGGCUUAGUUUGGUAUUGAGGUCUAUCUAACGCUAUUAGAUAAAAUGGAGUUGAGAAAAAAAUAUAUAUGGAUAUGCUUUUGCGUUCUCCGAUAGGAGCGCAGAAAAUAUAUCGUAACCGACUAAUCGCGAUUGCGUUUGCGAUAUGCAGAACGCAAUAUUACGUACGAAAACAAAUAAAAUAUUUUUUCGACGUACUUUCUCACCGCACGUAAUGCAAUAUCCCCGCAAUCCCAAACGAAGCCUUACUACUACCAAAUAUAGAAGGUUUUGAGUUUAAGUUCUACACAUCAAAUAUUCCAACUUAGUGGGACUCAACCCGGCCCGUUAAAUUGGGGACCGAGUAACCCGGCCCAAAUUUCCAAUUUGCCUUAAUCCGGCCCGGUCCAAAACAAUCCGGCCCAAUUUGUUGGCCCGGUCCCAGGUCUAAAAUGGCUAUACCAACAUUGGACAGGGCCGGGCGAGGACGAUAUAAAGGCCCACUGGUAAUCAGAUGAGGAACGAUAUCCAGCCCAAAAGCGGGGGGAGGUGGGGGAGAGAGAGAACGUUCUAAGGAAACCCUCGAGGAGGAGUCGCCAUGGAUCUCGUCCUCCACCUCCGCCUCCGCCUCCGCCACCGAUCGCUCCUCCUCUUCGUCGUCGUCCUCCUUGUCCUCAUCUCCUCCUAUGGAGUGACCGCCGAGGUUAUCACCCUCACCGCCGACACUUUCUCGGAUAAGGUAUACUCGCCGAUGCUCUCUCUCUCUCUCUCUCUCUCUCUCUCUCUAGGGGAUUCUGAUUAGAAACCCUUCUGAAUCGUUGAUGUAAACGUGAUGUUUGAUCUGUUAUGUUUAUCUUCCUCUGUAGUUAGGGCAUCUUAUUUAAUGUACUUUGUGUUUCAUAUAAAGAAAAAAAAAAAGCAUUCGAAGUAGUAAGAUCGUGUUAGGUUUUGUGUAUUUCCUUGGAAAAUACGUGCGAACGAUGUAAAUAUGUGUGGAACAGUAUGAUUUGAAUGGAUUUUAAUUUGUGGGAUUUGUUUCUCAUAUCUGGGAUCGUAUAAUGGCUGCAAAUAUAAUGUAAACGUGAUGCCCAGGGACGUCCUUAAAGAUAUGUGUGGAACAGUAUGAUUUGAAUGGAUUUUAAUUUGUCAGAUUUGUUUCUCAUAUCUGGGAUCGUAUAAUGGCUGCAAAUAUAAUGUAAACGUGAUGCCCAGGGACGUCCUUAAAGAUAGUGGUCAUUAGAAAUGCGGCAUAAUCCUGUUAGGCACUUCGUGAGUAGAGAUCAUUGGUGUGGAAUUGUGGAUAGCUCACUAUUCCUCGAUAUAGUGUUGCUUGACUUAUUCGAAGGUCCUCUUGAAUGUUGUUAGCUCGCUAUUCUCGAUAUAGUGUUGCUUGGCUUAUUUUAGAAGGUCCUCUUGAAUGUUGUUGAUGAGUCAGUAUUUCCAUGCGGUAGUAGAUUAUUGGAUCAACUUGUUAUACUUUGGCCUAAUUUACUAGUCACAUGAGAAUGCUGACUCAUCAACAGCAUUUGAGUAGAUCUUAUAGGGUACUCCAAGAAUUACUCUUGCGGAUAGAGAAUCUACGAUAUCUCAACCAUAGAGAUAGCAUCUUGAUCUAGAAACCUUAUGCAGGAUAUGUUCUUUUUCCUAUACACUACUUGACACACACUACUUGACACAGUGAAAUGUCUAAAGAUGGAAAGAUAAUCUCAAAUAGAAUGUUUGAGUAUUCAACUUAGCUCUUAGUAUAGAGGUGAGCCACUCUAUUUCCCUAUUUAGGACUGUGCUUGGUCCGGUUUUAGGGAUUUUUUUCCCUCAACCAAUCUGAAAUUUAUGGUUUGAAGAUCUUCAAAAUCAGACUGAACUAAAAUACUUCGUGCAGUGAGUCAAGCCAAACACAAAUCUUAUGGUUUGUUUUACUAUUCAACCUAGGGUGUAGAAAGCCCUUUCUCUCAGAAUUUAGAUCCUUCUCUUGUUUUUGAGUGGUGUUGAUUUUGAGACUAUGUUAGACAUGAUUUAUAACUAGAAAUAAUUUCCCCUUCAUUUCUAUGCAUGAAAAUUAAGUUGAUUAAUGAAAUAGUCUUAUUAGACAGUUAGAGUAAAUUAGAUUUAGCAGAUUUAGGAGGUUUUUCCAUUCUAAUAGAAAGGACGAAGCAUUCAAGCAUCUAAUCCCUGGAAGAGUUACAGCCCUCACUAGGAAAGUAUCACAUAGUUCAUAGUAAAUGUAUUUAGUUAUAUGCAGGAUUUCAACUUCAUAUAAGCAGUAGAAAGUCAUUUUGUGAACUAGGAGCUGUAGUAUUAUUAUAUAUGGGCAUUUUAUUUCCAAAAAUUGUAAAUAAAAUCAAAAUAUCUAGCCUUACUCUUCUUGCUCAUCGUUACAAUCUGUACAUGAGAAUCUUAACUUGUAUUUGAGGUUGAUCUUUUCUUAAGUAACAUUUUAUAGGAGGAUGUCCACAUUGAUCACUAGCUCAAGGGGAGCAUGAUUAGCAGCUUAUGACUUUAACGGUAGUCUGGUCAUAUCAGCGAAAUUGGUCUAAUUUAGACAUUGAGUUUUUCUGCGCAGCACAGAAAACCUUCUCUAAUUUCCAUCCUUUAGAAUUCAAAAUUUUUCCUGAUAAUGGUUUUAACUUGCUAGACUUUAUAAAUUCUACAUUGACUUCUUGAUGAUAAUAUCAAGAUAAGAAACUUUGACAGUCAUAACUCUUUGUUCAGUAGCUUACUAAGUUUUUAGCAGUAGAGUUCUUUGUAACUAUCUAUUGAGCUUUUGAAACUUUUCUUUUAUUAUGCAAGUUGCGAGAUUUUAAUGUGAUUUACCUCUUAUGUCUCAGAUAAAGGAGAAGGAUACUUUGUGGUUUGUGCAAUUUUGUGUUCCUUGGUGUAAACACUGGUAAAUACUCUAUGAUCUAAUAUGUUCCCAUUUUCACUGCACCGGCUAUAUUAAGUUUGGAAGCAAAAAAUAAAAAAAGAAAUGGUUUCAUGAUUCCCAUCUAUUUGACAUGUGGAAAUCAGCUUUCGCAGUAAGCUGGUGUUGUUUGUUAUCAAUUUUCUCUAAUUUGAACCUCUUCUUCAGUAAGAACCUGGGAACACUUUGGGCGGACUUGGCUAAGACUGUUGAGGGCGAAGAUGAAAUAGAGAUAGGACAAGUAGAUUGCGGUGCAAGCAAAUCUGUAUGCUCUAAAGUUGAUAUCCAUUCAUACCCAACAUUUAAGAUAUUCUACGAUGGGGAGGAAGUAGCAAAAUAUAAAGGUAACGACUUAUAAUUUAUAUGAUGUGUAUUGACAUGCAACCUGCUGCUCUUAAAUUUAAAAUAUAGCUGAACAAGCUGAAGACAUUGCUAUUUUUUGUUAUUUUUUGUUAUUUUAUUAAUGUUGCUUUAUUUGUCAACUCAAGCUAUAACCCGGCAUAUUUGCUUCUUCCGCUGUUAGAUUUUAGGCAGAGCGACCAAUCCGCUCAGUUUUCUUGGGUGUUCUCGUGAACUGAACUAUCAAAACAAAUUAGAAAACAAUUUUUUUUUUCUAAAAUAGACUUUUGCAAGCUAAUUGUAUUCGAGUCUUGAAAUAGAAUCAGUUUAAUGCAUGCAGGUAUGAUGAUCAUAAAUUUUAAGAUUAGUUGCUAAAAUAAGAAAAAUGCGAGAAAACUGUGAUGUAUUAGGAAAAUUGUGCAGGGAGUCAAUCGGAAGAUAAAAGCUUAUUAAUUUAAGAAUACAUCAGCAGAGCGAAAAUUUGCAUGCAAAAGAUUCCUAAAGUUUCCAAUAAUGUUGAACAUGUUGUCCAAAAAGGGGUUGGGGGGGGUGGGGAAGAAAAGAUCAACAUAUGUAGUAAGGAAGAGAUACCAACCCACCCUUGUUUUUGGGUUUCACUGACAUAUUCCUGGUUCACAAUAACUGUUAUUUAUGUUUCAGAUCGUAUUUCCUUCUUGUGUGCUCGGACCACCACAACAUUUCCUAGAUUUGAAUGUAAACAGUUUUGGCAACUCUUAAACUGAUGAAUCAUUUAUGCUUUGAUGCAUCAGGUCCGAGAGAAGUUGAAUCACUUAGAAACUUUGUUCUAGAAGAGGCAGAAAAGGCGGCACGAACAAAGCUGGAAGCUGAUAGAGAUUUGUGAUACUUUACAUGACAACUCGAGUCUUCUAAAAUUACUGGCACAGAAUAUAACCCACUCAGCAGUAGGCAAACCUGUCUUUCCGUCCCCUCUAAUUUUGGCAUUGUUUUUUAUCUUUUUCUCUUGAAUCUUAAGAGGAAAAUCAAUCCGAACAAUUUGUCUUGAUCAAGUGCAAAGUUGAUCCUCUGAAGGCCGAUAAUUGUGUCGAAGCGCGCCAAAUAUUUAUUCAGCGAGGCACUAGUAUGUUGAUGCCUAAAUUAUGGUCGGAAAAUUUUGCAAUUAGUAUGCUUAUGCUCGGUACGUGUAUUGCUUAAACUUUCUCAGCUAUAAGACUAUAAUGUGCUAUAUUCAAAAUUUUAGUGAUCUAUAUCUACUGUUUGUUUUGGUUAUUAUUUAUUUGUCCGAAGUUUGGUCUUUAUAUGUUGCCAAAUGCAUGACAUUGCUGGCAAUAUGCUUGAUAGGGAAUGUUUAGUUUGGCAAUAAAUAUGCAUGCAGGACGUCUGCGUAAAUUACAUUUUUCGUAUUUAAAUGCACAUAGGCUUUCGUUGCUCUAUUUGUGCCAUUCUCAAAGCUGUCUUUUUAAUUUUUUGUCUCCUAAAUGCAAGUAAAUUAGGUAUGACUCAGCAUCAGCAUUCAUAAGCCGAUAGAAUAACAUAUUUUAUUUUUUAUAAUUUAAUAAAAAUAGUAUUCUUUCAUUUGCAAAUAAUUUAUCUAAUUUUGAAAAAUAAUAUUUAAUCACAAAAAAUUUACUGAGACAUGAAAGAGUAAUUUCUUUAAAAUUUAUAGAAUAAAAUAUUUUGUUGUUAAAACAGAGCCUUAAGAAACAAAAAUAAUCUCUUUAACUUUCAAUUACACAAAUUUUCUUAAAAAUAUAUUAUCAUUAAAAUAUUUUGUUCUGCCAUGUAAAUAAUGAACUACAUAACAAAACCACGGUACAGUGCAUUAAUUGCUGAGCAGGCAACACAAAUAAAAGCUAAAGAUAAGCCAAUAAACAUAAUUUCUUUCAGCCACACGAGCAAUUUUGACAGCAAACUUAAGAUUAACAAUACGCAAUGAAUAACUCGAAAUCAAGUGUUUGGACUGACAUAAUAAUAUUCAUAAUAUUUAAGAGAAUCUAUAAUAGGAAAUCAAGUACUUCAAAUUAGAUAAGACACUCAGGCCUUUGACCUGCCACCGCCUAUCAAGUACCCAGUUCUGUAAAAAGCUGCUCAAUAAUGCCAGCAGCAUUAACCAAAACCUAUAGCACGCGACAAGAAUAACCAAACCGACGCUAAAUGAUACGAAGCACCCGAAGAUCUCAACAUCUGCCAUAUCCAUUGUUCACUUCUUCUUAGCAGCAGCCUUAGUGACCUUGGCACCGGUGGGAUCCUUCUUCUCGACGCUCUUAAUAACUCCCACAGCAACCGUCUGGCGCAUGUCACGAACGGCGAACCGACCGAGGGGCGGGUACUCGGAGAAAGUCUCCACCACCAUGGGCUUGGUCGGAAUCAUCUUCACGAAACCGGCAUCACCGUUCUUCAAGAACUUUGGCUCCUUCUCGAGCUCCUUACCGGAUCGGCGGUCGAUCUUGGUGAGAAUCUCAGCAAACUUAACAGCAAUGUGAGAGGUGUGGCAGUCCAGGACGGGGGCAUAGCCGUUGCCAAUCUGGCCUGGGUGGUUCAUGAUGAUGACCUGGGAGCAUAGCGACCGAUAAAUUUGGCAAGCCAGGAAAAAUUCAUUCAUUCUAAUAACGAAGAUGCAUAAAAAGUUUUUUUACAAAAUUUUCAACAAAAAAAAAAGAGGAAUAAAUUAAGACUAUACCUGAGAGGUGAAGCUCGCAGCCUCCUUGGCGGGAUCUUCCUUCGAGUUGGAAGCAACGAAGCCACGCUUGAGAUCCUUAACAGCAACGUUCUUAACAUUAAAGCCAACGUUGUCACCAGGAAGGGCCUCCUGAAGAGCCUCAUGGUGCAUCUCCACGGACUUGACUUCAGUGGUCAGACCGGUUGGGCCGAAAGUGACAACCAUACCAGGCUUGAGAACACCGGUCUCGACACGACCCACCGGGACAGUGCCAAUGCCACCGAUCUUGUACACGUCCUGAAGAGGAAGGCGGAGGGGCUUGUCGGUCGGGCGCUUGGGCUCCUGGAUCAAGUCGAGGGCCUCAAGCAGGGUGGGGCCCUUGUACCAGUCCAAGUUGGUGGAGCGUUCGAUCAUGUUGUCGCCCUCAAAACCCGAGAUCGGAACGAAGGGGAUCUUGUCAGGGUUGUAGCCGACCUUCUUCAGGUAGGAUGAGACUUCCUUAACAAUUUCAUCAUAACGAGCCUUGGAGUAUUUGGGUGUGGUGGCGUCCAUCUUGUUGCAGCAGCAAAUCAUCUGCUUCACGCCCAAAGUGAAAGCGAGCAAGGCGUGCUCGCGAGUCUGACCAUCCUUGGAGAUACCGGCUUCGAACCCACCGGUGGUGGAGUCGAUGAUGAGAACAGCGCAGUCGGCCUGGGAGGUGCCGGUGAUCAUGUUCUUGAUGAAGUCACGAUGUCCCGGGGCAUCAAUGACCGUGCAGUAGUACUUGGUGGUCUCGAACUUCCAGAGGGCAAUAUCAAUGGUGAUACCUCUCUCGCGCUCGGCCUUGAGCUUGUCAAGGACCCAGGCAUACUUGAAGGACCUCUUGUUCAUCUCAGCCGCCUCCUUCUCGAACCGCUCGAUGACACGCUUGUCUAUACCACCAAGCUUGUAGAUCAAGUGGCCCGUAGUGGUCGACUUGCCGGAGUCGACGUGGCCGAUGACCACAAUGUUGAUGUGGACCUUCUCCUUACCCAUGGUUGAUUACAAAAGUUUGCUGCAAACUACCAAUAGCAAAGCGGGGGCAAAGUUGAAAACAAGGGUAUUACAUCAUUUGCUGUCCUGUAAGCAUCUAAUCUAGUAAAAAUUAUACAUAAAUUCAGCCAACGAACCAGCUUCAGCUUCCUUAAGCCUACUCCAUGCCAUGAAACAGUAAAUUAUACAAAUUCAACAGUAAUUCAUUGUAUUCUCAUAGGCAGAUAAAUAUCAUAUUAUAUUACAAUCUAAAAGAUGCAAUCUCUAUCAAAUAAACAAAUAAAUCAUUAGAUGUAUAGUGAACAAUUAAGCUAAUGCUAAAAGGAGUAGCUUAAUUACCAACUAUCAGAGCUAAGAACCAGCAUCAGAAUGUCCAUUUUAAACCGAAUGAAUGAUGAACAAGUUAUGUUCCUUCUAAUCUCCUAUGCCCUUUCCUACAGUACCGCGAAUGCGCGAGACUAGAAGACAUAUCUUGUAUCGAUCACUCAUAUCGGCAACUUUGAUGGGAGAUAGAAUUUGGUCGCGUCCAAUAGGAUUUGAACCUAUACCCAAGGUCCGCAAAACCUCCGUAUGCUGAAGGUUUACAGAACCUCUGUCCUUUCCAUUAGACAAUGGACGCGCUUCAUCUCCAUAUGAUUCUUCCUCAGUUUUUUUAGUUAAAUAUGUUUACAGGACAUAAAACAGGAAUAAAAACCUGGCCUUGAUUAUAUUAAAUGGAGAUUCCAACAAACAUUUCACUUAUAACGAUAUUAGACUGUGAUAAAAGCAUACAUAACGAGCAAAAAUGUGUUGCAUGAUAGGUCUACUGCAUAAUAUUACAAAAAUUCUGCAAAUUUGACGACACAAGAGAAAUUUAAAUCCAACAUCAAAUUAAAGCAUCAACCACUAAAUUAAAUGAAAUUAGUACUUCCGCGAUUAGCAAACAACAACAACAACAACAACAACAACAACAACAACAACAACAACAGCUACAACAAAAUCUACGGAUCACCUAAAACCAAACAAAUGAAUUACAGAUCUACGUAUUUACAGCCAACACUUUUACCAACAACAACAAAAAUCUACGGGUCAACCAAAAACAAAGGAUUUAUAGAUCGAAAGAUCGGAGAAGCCCUAGCGAUCGAUCGCAAAAUGGACAAGCACCGAUCGAAGGAGACGAGGAGUAAGAUCUCACCUUCAGAGAAACGGCACGGCUCUCCCGCGAUGCGACCACGAGAGAGGAGUCGGCCAAGCAAAACCCUAGGGCUUUUCGAAAUGGAAAUGGCGAUGGCAAUGCAACUAAAACCCUCGGAGUGGGUUUAUAUAGAGAUCAAAGCUCAAUUAUGUCGGCUAGAGUCUCUCUCCUCACCGUUGGAUCUCCUCAUCGGACGGUUUAAAAAAUGGAGGGAUCUGGACCGUCGAUUCGAAUCCUGCGAUUCAUGUGAUGCCACGUCGGAUUACACCUUUUCGUGGCCCCCACGAGAUGCGCCAUUUCGGUUUUGGCCCUUACUUUUAUUAUUAUUAAUUUUAUUAUUGUUAUUCUUAUUAUUAUUAUUGUUAAGAUUUGUUUAUCUAAUUGACUUUGCAUAAUAAUAAUUAAUUAAUUAAUUAAGGGGUGAGAAGGAUAGUUUCUAAAAUGGUACCGUAAAAUUUACAAUAAACAUUACCAAAAAUAGUUGGUUGUUGAUUGUUAUUACUAUGCAUUGUGCUUUUUUUCCAAUUUUCAAAUUUACAACUUUAAUUUUAUUUGUAAUGUAUUAUUAUUAAAAUUAUAUAUAGAUUUAAAAAUAUAAUUGAAUAUAACUAUUAUCGUUGAAACUGCAUUAGGAGGCUUAAUUAUAAUAAUAAUAAUAAUUAGAAUUAUACCUAAUUGAUAAAGUAAUUCAUUUUUUUAAAUAACAAGCAUAAAGGAGUAUUUAUAGAAAUUUAAACUUAUGAGCAAUUUCUUAUUAAUUAAUAACUAAUAUAGGUUUUUUUAUUAGCAAAAAAAAAAUUAAGUGAGAGUAUGUCACUUUCCAUUUGCUCGAAGCUUCGACUUUUUUAAAAAUUUGUCUUUUUUAGUUAAUUUUUUUUUAGGGUUAUUAAAGUAGAUGAGGAGGAGAUUGGCCCUAAACUUGGUGGCCAAGUAUGCGGCACUAACUAGAUUAGGUCAAAAUGGUUUUUAUGUACAUUGGGGACUCCACCCACAAUAAUAAUUUACCUUUUUAGCCCAUUGAUGGACUUUGGAUAUGUUAGAUAUUUUUUUAGAUAUUUUGGAAACCGGUGAAUGAUGCGUCGGAUUCACUGAAAGUGGAGAGAACUGAAGUGGCUUCUAACCGUAAUUUUUUUUAUUGUUUGAUUCACCGUAAUUUCACGUGCAAUCAAAAUUUAAAAUUUUCAAAAUAACUAUAAAAAGAAUAAAAAUUUAACAUUUAUUUUUUAUGAAACAAACAACGAACUUUUUUUAAAAAACUUUAGUUUUACAGCAGUACAAAAAUAUAACAAAAACUUUUUUAUUUAAUUUGAAAGUUUACUUCAAUAUAAAUUUCAUUUUCGGUGAAACAAAUAUGCCGUCAGACAAAAAAAAUAGUAAUAACUGGUUCAGAGUAACUUUUUUUUUUGGAAAAACUUCAGAUACCCUCCAUGUUAUUUCGCACUUUCUCACUUUAGUAUCAUGUGGUUUAAAAUGUAUCAAGUUAGUACCUUGUAGUUUUGCAUUUUCUCACUUUAGUACCUUAUAGUUUCAAGUGUAUCAAGUUAGUAUUCUGUUGUUUAAUUUUUGUAUUAAGUUAUUACCCCGUGGUUUCAAUUUUCUCUUUUCAUUAUUCAUUUCAGGAUAUAUAUAAUUUAACGAAAUAUUAAACCACAUGGUACUAAAGUGAGAAAGUGCAAAAUCACAAGGUGCUAACUUGAUACACUUGAAACCACAUGGUACUAAAAUAAGAAAAUGUGAAAUCACGGGGUACUAACUUGAUACACUUGAAAUCACAUGAUACUAAAGUGAAAAAGUGCGUCCCUCCCCCCUUUUUUUUUGAAAGUAUAUUUACAUUGGUAAAACAUCCGAACCCACAGGAGCCACAUAGAUCAAACUCGAGUCGGACCACACUAUUCACCGACCGAGCCCGAUUUAAAUCCCAAACAAGGGUUUAAGUUUAACAACAUCGCCUCGCAUUUUCGCCUCAGAAAAAAGAUAUUACAAACCCCGACGACCUAUUUACCGGUGGUGCGCCCACCGCCCCCGCCUCCCCCCCGGGGCUCGCGCCAUCGACGAAACCCUAGCCGCCAUAAUCAUCGGCGAAGAGCUCCACCUCCACCUCCGAGGGCUACCUCGGAUGCCCCAUCCCCACCUCCCCUCGAUCGCGGCGUCGUCGAAAUGGUGAGCUUCGCAAAACCCUAAUAAUCUCAUCCUCUUCUUCUUCGUUUUUGUUUUCGAGGGUUUCGUGAUUUGGUGAUGCUUUAGGUGGAGUGUUGGGGCACGGGGAGUCGUGGUUGAGGAGCUUAGGUAGCGUAUUUGAUGAAUCUGAAAGGAAACGAAGAGAGGGGAUGAGAAAAAGAAAGAGGGAAAUGGAAAGAAAAGAUUGCAGCUUGAGACUGUUCUGAUUAGUAGGUGUAGCAUUUUGAUACGUACCAGAGGAUUUUGGAUGAUAUAUAACGUGAUUAGUGCUGAGUUUUUUGCUUUCUAAUUUUUUUCUGCAAAAUUGAACAUUGAUAUCUAUGAUUUACAAUAAGAUCAGUGCUGGAUUUUGACUAGCAUUUUAGUUAGCUUGAGGGAAAAGCUCUUCACGAGUAAAUAUUUGAGAAAUUAGGGCAUGAAUGAUAAGGUCCACAUGCAGUAGAUAUUACAUAUUCAACAUUCUAGAGAUUUGUACGGGAAACUUUUAUGUCGAAAUAUCUUGUCAAAAUUUGAAUUUAGUCUUAUUUUAAGAUUGAAUAUCUGCAGGCUACCCCUCUCAUAGCAGGACUUGCGGUGGCUGCUGCUGCUCUCGCUGGUAGAUACGGAAUUCAAGCUUGGCAGGCAUAUAAGGCUCGCCCAGUUGUUCCGCGAAUGCGGAGAUUUUACGAAGGUGGUUUCCAAGCUACUAUGACUAGGAGAGAAGCUUCUUUAAUCCUAGGAGUUAGGUGAGCAUUUCUUCUUUUAAAGAUAGUGAAAUAGUUGAGUUGUUGUACAUAUUUUCUCAGUAGAUUUUAUACCUUGAAAAAGUGAUAUUCCAUGUUAUACAUAUAGAUCCUGAGGUUUAAAAUGUCAGAAACGUGCUGCCUUCUAAUCGAGAUCAUUGGUCUUAUUUUAGAAAGAAGAGUUAUGCAAAAUUACGCUAGUUCCGAGGCUAUGUAAUUAAAGAACUUUCUAAAAUUUUUCUUAGAAAUAUGCUUUGUUAGUGAAAAUUGUGAAUUUUAGUCAAUUACCCCUCUUUCCUUGAAAUGAAAAGUAGUAGUUCAUUUGAUAAGGUAAUAUUCCUUUUUGUUUAUGGUACCAUUCCUUUUGUGUUUUUAAGUUCACUCUUGUUGUCUUAUAUGCGAUUGGCAGUUGAGGAUCUUGGAAUUCAUGUUGGAAUUUCUACAAAAUUUGGCAUUUUUGUCACCAGUUGACCUCAAAUCGUCUUGUCCCCCUUAUUGUCUUUAGUUGCCCUUAUUUCAAUAGUGAGGGCCAUUAGGCGUAGUAGUACUUCAGAAUACCGUUAAUUAUAAUAGCAGAAUAACAUGGAAAUCCUUUAGAAAGAUAAUGUACACCGUAAAAGCCAUUCAUGUAAAUUUGUAAAUACUGAUUGAUAAUAGCAAGCUACGGAGAGUGAGUAGUUUUUCUCCCCAAUCCAGAUCUUAGCUGGAGUUCUUAUUCCCUCUAGUCUGUCUGAUAUAUCAUUAUAGCAAAACAUAGAUGUGAGAUUGGUUAUCAUUUGGAAAACUCGGAAAAAUGAAUCAUGCAAGCUCAGUGCUAAUGUUUUGCUAUUUGCAUAUCGAGAGACAGUAUUGCUGUGUUCCAUUGGGGGAUUUCUAUUCCAGGAUACAGAUAGAUAAACCCCAUCGACAUUAGUUCAAUGUAUUAUUUUUAUUGCAUUUUGGAGGUUAGGUGUCAACGUUGCAUUAGAUGUCUUCCAACAGGGGUUUCAUAAUUCUACUCUACCCAAUGGAAUUUGCUAUCCCUGUCAAUGACCAAAUUUUCUCUUGCCCAGUUUUAGGCAUGUAGUUCCAUUAUAUUUGGUGGGACUAUGAAUAUAUAUACCAUUUUCUUCACUCUAACCCUAACCAAAUGCUAUCUAAUAGCUGUUAUCUUCUUUUUUAAAAAAUUAUGUAGAAAAUGCUCAUUACUCGAAAGUGCUAAUUAGGAAGGAAAAAAGAGUGCCUUUUCAUUUCUUCAAUAGCUCCCAUCUGAUUGAUGUUCUUCAUUAGCCUUACUGUUAAUAUGGUUCUAGACUCGACCAUUGGACGAGCCAGGUUAUGCUCUUAAAUUGUCCUCCGUCGUCGAGUUUCCUUUUCUCUGUAUGUCUUUCUUUCUGGUGACAUUCUUUUUGGUUUGCUUCAAAAUGGAAAUUUUCAUUCGCAACUAAUUUAACUACCUCCUCUUAUCCAUUCUUAGUUGCAGUUAUCCUCUUAUGACUUCUUUUUUUUCCGUCCACAGGGAAAAUGCGCCUCCAGAUAAGGUCAAAGAAGCGCAUAAGAAGGUUAUGGUCGCAAACCAUCCAGAUGCCGGGGGGAGCCAUUAUCUCGCUUCGAAGAUCAACGAGGCAAAAGACGUGUUGCUAGGGAAGACAAAAGGCGGUGGAUCUGCAUUUUGAUUUUUUUUUUUUUUUUUUUUUCAUGUUUUUCGUCAUAAAAAAAUAUUUAUUGAUGCUCUGAGUUGGAUUUUGACUUAAAACACCAACCUGCACCGGAUGUCGCUUAAACAUAGUUUAGUCAGAAUAUGUACCAUUAAUUUGUUUGGUACUGCUGAAUUUCAGAGAGGUGCUAGUAGUAAAAGACUACAGGAAUUGCUAUGCUGAGACUCAAUUUUGCUUCUGGGUUAUUCAGUGAUUGAAACUAACUGUUUAAUCUAAGUUCAAUCUGAACUAAAUUUUGGAAACACUUGAUGAUGUAACUCUGGUAUGCUAUGCCAAGUAAAUACUUGUGCAAGUGAUAUGGAGUCUUUGUCCUUUUAAAUUAUUGUUCUACAGUGCCUUUUAAAGAAGCAUUAAUACCAUUAUUUAAAAAAAUUAGAAACAAGAGGUUCAUUUCAGCUUUUUGUCCCAAGAAGUUGCUUUUUUUUUUUUUUUUUUUUUUUUUCCUCCGCGUAGAAAGAGUAGUUUCUUCGGCGGGGCCUUGCCAAUGCUUGGGCGAUGCUUUAAGAUUCGUGCGGAGUAAGAUCAGAAAGAUUACUGAAAUGAGGCCUAUAGGAAGAGAAAGGGCCUGGGUCUAAGUCAGCUGAUAUUGUGGCCCGCUACGUGGCUUUCUACGAUCGGGGCCAGAAGAUUCGCCCGUUAUUACCAUUUAGGGGGAGAACGGUUCUCUCUCGCUCGCGCGGCUCCGACCAUUUUGAAACGAAAACGCCCCCUGCGGAGGAGAGAUAAUGUCCGCGACCCGCGCCGCCCACGGAAAACUAGCCGUUAGGAAACACGCGUCCUACUCCUCCUCCUCCUCCUCCUCCUCCUCCUCCGCUCUGAGAUCCCAAAAACCCUAACCCUAACCCUACAUGGACGACGCGCUCUCCCCCGCGCCGUUGCCCAUCUCCAUCCCGAUCGAGAUCGUGAGCGAGGAGGAGAUGGCGUUCUUGGAGGCCGCCCUCGCCGCCGCGCUCCCUUGCGCCCUCUCCCCUUCUUCUUCUUCGCCGCGGGGGCGCCGCGCCGCGAGCUCCCUCAGCCGCUGCGCGGCGGCGCCGCCGCCGCAUUCUUCUUCGGCCGCCGACAUCGAGGACUCGUUGGCGACGUCGGCGCCGCGCAGGUCCCUCCUCCACCGGUUCCGGUCCAAGAGGGCGCUCAUGGUCACCGACGUCACCGCCGCGGUAUGGUUCUUGUUACAAAUUCUCCUAUUUGAUUCUCUUAGGGCGGAGAAGAAGAGAAGUUACUUGUUUUGAGAGUUUAUCUGUGAUAUCUUAUGUCUUUUUGGAACUUUGAUUGCGAUUCGAUUCAAAGAAUGAUUCGAAUGACGAAUUGUUGGUAAAUUGGAGGUUGGAAUGUGACUUGUUGUCUGAGAAUUAUGGGUUUGAGCAGAACAGCUUUGUCCUUUGCAAUUGGUCCCCAACACUUACCUGAGAUUUCCCUUUGGUCCUCAGCUCAUUAAAGUUUGUAGUUAGAUUCUAAAUGUUUGCUCAUUGUUUCAAUCAAGUCCCUUUGUUAGAAAAAACCGUUAAAUGGAUGGAAUUUCAACUUGGUAAAGUUUGGUGCUGAUGUGGUAGAUAUGGUUUGAUGCGACCUUUGCGGUUUUAGGUUAACAGACAUUUUGAUGGAAUGCACUUGAUUGAAACAAUUAAAAGAUUUGGACUGAAUGGUGCUCAUCAGCCCUGUUUCAUAGAAAUGGAAAAAAGAAAUACUAAGACGCAUGAAGCGCUAUUUUCUUUCUAUUUCUGGAAUGGGUUCAGAGCUUUGAAAUCUUUAAUCUUGAAAGUUUUUUAGCAAGCAAGACCCCAGAAAGAUCAAGAAAAGCUCGUACUUUAAUCUUUACUUUGUGCUACAACUCUGAAGGGUGAUGCUCAUUCUACAUGUAAUACUUUUUUUUUUUGGUUUAAUUUUGAUAUCUAUUCCCAAUCAUUCUAGAACUACUAUUAAUGUUAGGAAUACUAUCUGUUGAGUGUGCAUUUGCUAUGAUACUAUCUGAAGGUUCUGAUCCGAAUUAGGAAUGGUGCGAGAAGCAAAUGGAGUUUGUCCUCCUCCAUGGAAAGCCUAGAAGAACUAAAGCUAUGAAAGCAGGUUCUGAUCGCCAUGCUCAACUUGAAAAUGAGGUUAGUAAAGCAGGAGACAGGGAGCUGAAUACUUUCUUCCUUGCUUGUGGGAUAUUAUUGCCAAGAGUUUAUUUAUUAGAUAUUUAUAAUGUUUCUUUUUCAAUUGACGCACAUGAUCUUUCACAAUGCUUUCUGGUGUUCUAUGAUUUUCUUCACUUAUUAGAUGAUUGCUGUUUUGCAUCCAUUACUUGCUGAAGGAAAAGACUUCUUUUGUGUUUUCCUGCAACUGUGCAUAGUUUUUCUGAUAUGUCCAGUCUCUAAGCAGGUAAUAGAAAAGGUGGACAUAGUUAUCAAGUCGGUCGAAGAAUCAUGGGCUGUAAAAUUUAUGAACUUCAUCAUUGGAGCAAACCAACUACUUUUCGAAGGCUUAACUCGUGAGCUUCCAGUGUAAGUCUACAUACUUCAGUCUAUGAAUAAUUGAAGAGUGGCUCUUUAUUUGUGGGAUAUAUGUCUUUCUGUUGGACAAUUAGAUUCUUUAUUUUCUUAAUUCCCUUGGAAUAUUUUAGUUCAAUUUACCACUUAUAAAAUAUCAACUAGAGUGCAAAAAGAGUGAGUAAUUGCUGAAACAUUGUUUUUCACUACUCACUACUUUUAAAUCGAGAUUGUUUUAGUUUAUCUUCACUGCUCUCUGCUACUCUUCCCUUCUUAUUUACUUUUAUCAAUCAAUUUCUUUGCUAGAAUCUUCUUAUGUAAUAUCAAACCUUUUCAAAUCUUCUGCUGUAAUAAUAGUAUCACUUUUUGACUUAUAAAUCGAAUAAAAAAUUGUUCCUAUUUGUAUGUAUAUAUGAUCGGAAUGCUUUUCCGUCUAGAGAAAUCGUUUGUUUGAGCUAUGACUUGACAGCAUUCUGAUGGUUUGCAUUUGUAUUGCAUCAGAAUAGGAGUGGUUGAAGGCACAUGGAUGAUCGGUGUAAUUGAUGAAAUUCGAUUGCCUUUAGAUAAAGCUAUUCCAAACCCUAUUAUAGUGGACACGAAGACACGCCAUAAGGCAACUCUUCCUUCGGAAGCACAAAAGAGAAAUGCAAGGUUCGUUCUAUUUAUUUAUUUAUUUUUCUUGCUUGACUGUUACCAUCUCACGAAAUGCCUUUCUUAAUAAAUGGCUUGCAAGUAGUUUUCUGAUAUAAAUUGGAAUUAGGGUUUGGUUGCAUUAAGUGUACGGGAUUGCUAUGUCUUCCUAUUUGCUAAGAACUGAUAAGCACUGUUAAACCAAAUUUCCAAGCGUGCAAUUCAACUGCUGCAUAAGAUACUGAAGUGGAGGUAUUAAUCUUAGAAGAUCACCACUUUAAUAUCAUUUGAGAACAUUUUGGGGUUGACACAUCAAAGUAUAUUAGCAAUCACAUUGUGGUACAAUGCUAGACUAUCAAAAGAAAGCUAUACUAUUAAAAGAGACAUUCUAGCAUUUAUUGAUGACCGAGCAAGAACAGAAACUCUGUCGCAUUUAUUAAUGUGUUAAUGUGCCGCAUAAAAAAUAGCAUCCUUCUCUUUGUAUACCUGCAAGUUUUGAAGUAUUGAGCAUCUUAUGAUUUCUAGGAUGAUGGUACAGUUACAGUUUGUUAAAUGACUUUUGAUUUUGUUUGAAUAGCAUGACAUCUGAUAUUGUUGGUUGCUCAUGUUCAUGGUAGGCUUCAGUUGAUGUGCUACAAGUAUUUAUGGGACAGUUUGACUGCUGAGCAGUUCUCUACUUACGAUUUCUUCAGUUAUUUUAACUUAAAUCCCCAAUAUAAUCUAUCUGGCAUUGUCAAGGAGUACAUUAGUUCAUUGGGUUUCCACGUGAAGGUAACUUUUCCCCUUAUGUACAUUUAAAAAGUUAUUUUCUUGUCUUUUGAUUUACUUUAUCUUCUUCAGUAGGCAUAGGACCAAUCACUUAAUUACACGAAUGUUAGUCUAUUAAUUUUCUGGCAUAAAAUUGCAUAUUCUUGACCUAAGUAUUUGUUUCGUAGAAUUUUCUGUCUGACCAAUUAUUAAAUGAUUUUGCUUUCGUGACUGUUUUCUGUUACUAUACUUUGAAAUAAAACCUCUUAGUGUUUCACAUAUACUCCUUAUUUGAUUACAUUUCUGUUUUUUCGUUUUCUAAAAUGAAAUUCUAAACCCGAUUGAAUGUGCCGGUAGAUGGCAGAUUAUUGGCAAUCCAUACAACUGUUGGCUUAUUUGGCAUGAAAAAACAACACAUUAUGAGACGCUUUUCAGAUCCGGAGAUGGAGCAUCACAAGCUACCGAACAAAGACGACAAUGUAGAAUUCAUCUGCCAUCGCAUUUAAUAACAUGGAAUUUGAGUUCAGGAAAAAAAGGGAAAAAAAAAAGUGAAAAAUGGAAGCAUAGCCAAAUAAGUUAUUAUAUUCUCAAUAUAGCUAUGACAUUAAGUAUCAAAAUGUUCCAUCUGCAGACACUUGAAGACGUCUUUACAUAUUUUAGGGAAACCUGUUGUUUGCUUCCACCAUCUCAGGAACAGCUUCUCUUGAGGUAAAUAUAACUAAGUGUGACGUCGUUGAAACUUGAAAACAGAUAGUAACAAUGAGCAGAUGGAGAGACAAACGUGAGAGAAUUAUUAGAAACUUGCUGUUUUUUUUCCCUGAUGCAGAUAUGAAUUGCAAUCGGAUAACUCAUUGCUUGAAGAAUAUUUUUUCUCCUACGAUCCCAUCUGGUUCAAGGAUCAGGUCCAAGAAUGCUUAAAAUUUUGGCUUGGGGAGAGGGAAGCUAAGUUUGUGUCGGAGGAUGAGAAGUGGAAAUGCCACUUUUGCAAAUUUACUUCCACUUGUCCUAUGACAGCUAUUCCGGAAAAGUAACAGAAUAACUAGGUAAUGUGAUCAUCUGCUUUCUUAAACUAGAUGUUGGCCUGCCCAUUUAUUCUUUCUCCCUGCUAAUAAAACCCAGUAAUUCUUGCAGUAAGAGUGUAUAUGACUGAGUCAUCCUACAAAAUUACUAGACCUCCACUCUGAAGUACAAACUCAGUGCUUGGAGAUUAAGCUCAGAAGUAAAAUGCUUGAUAGCGAACCUCACUCCGAGUCUGGUGAUUUUUUUCUUCCUAACUUAAAUCCUGUUGCUUGCUGUUCUUCCUGUGUUUGCUAGUCUAAGGUUAUGCCAUAAAAUUCUUGGAAAUUUAGUUAUGAUUUAAUUCUUUCCACUGAGAGUUUUACCAAAUUUUGUUGAUUGUAUUCUUUAUAAUGUAAGAAGGGAAAUUGUUGCAAUGCUUGAUGUUACAUUGUACCUUGUAAAUUGUAUCAGGGAGAUGUUUCUAAGAUGAAAUCAAUCAACAAUAUUUGCAUAAAAUGUUUAUACUCAUAUAUGAGUGAAUUUGUAGACAUAAAAUGUAGCGGUCGCUUAAGGCCUACAUUUUUUGCAUUUUUUUUUACUUUGUCACUCCGUGGUUUAAAAAGUAUAUUUUUGUUUUACCGAAUCACCUGCCCUAUCAAAUAGGAUAUCACAGUGAUUUUUUUUUUUUUCUUUUUGAAACCACAGGAUAGUACUUUGUUUAACGAUAGAUUUUUACAAUAAAAUUAAAAUAAAAUCACAAGAUAAGUGUAAUUUUUUUAAGUCAUAUGGCAGCAAUGAGUAUAAUUAUAGUGAUAGUUAAGCAUAAUUUUUUGAACCAUAUAAUUUAAAAAUGCGUUAUUCUUCUUAAGCUCUCUCUCAUAUAUGUAUUGUAUUAUAGUAUACUGGUCAUCCUUCUUAAGCUCUCUCUCAUAUUUAAAAUGUUUGAUCUCUUAAGGAUCUGUGGUUGGCUUAAUAGCUUUUAAACAGGAAUUAGCACUUAUCUUUUGAGACCUACUAUUCAACUCAACUCUACAUUACUAGAUAAAAACAUGAAUGAUGAUAGUGAGCUUUUCCUAACCCAACCAAGCACAAAGGAAGAUACAACCACACAGGUGAGGUGAGUCAUAGCUUUACUGGGGACAAGUAGGAUGUCACCCAUUGGCUAUGAUUGGAACAGUGAAAGCCAUUCAUCUUCGCACGAAAAGUCUUAUUUGGAUGCAUGAUGGAGAUAGGCCACCUAGCAUUUGAGUACCUUAUGUUCCGAGGCCACAGUAAACCUAAGCUUUUUUAUUUGUAACUGACCUUAUAUUAAAUGAUAUAUCUAUAUGUUGUGGUCAAUAUUUUAUUGCGGAAAAGGACAACUCUGUUUUGUGCACUAGAGAUUGAUGCUGUACAGCUAGAGUGCUUUUGAUUUCACCCUCAACGACCAGCACACUUCCCCCACUCAAAACAGCUUUUGCGUUUCUUUUUUAACGCAUCAAAAACAGGGCUAUACUACAGGACGAGCCUCGGAUUCCGUACCGUAACGAGCACGUCCCUCUAUGUGAGGUAACUAAUUUGGUAUAUUUUGGUAAGUGCUUUGGCUUUUUAUGUUUAUUGAUUUUGGUAAGUGCUUUGGCUUUUUAUGUUUAUUGAUACUUGCUUGUAGAAUUAAUUGUGUGUAAAUUUAGUAGUUUUAUUAAUUAUUGGUACUUAUUUGAAUUGAGAAAACUAGUUAGAGCUGUGAAAUUGGUGGCAUUAAUACUCCAAUUCGGCAAAAAAAAUUCUAACUUAAUUGAUUCAAAUAACUAAAGUUAAAAUAAAUAACAGCUAAAAAUUGCAUCAGUAGAAAAUAAAAUUCAGGAGUAACGAAAACGUGAGCCGUGAGGGGCCUCCACACGUUUUCACUCAUUUGUUUUGUUAUGAAGCGUUCCCUUGUCACGAUGCAACGAUUUUAUUACACAACAAGAUUUGGGAAUCAGUGGUGAGUCACCUUCCCUUUGGCUUUUACCUAAACAAUUUCUUUCUAAUAUAUACCAACUAUAUCUUAUUAUUAGUGCCCAGCUUUAAAAGGGCCCUGGGGAAUAGGACCCCUCACAUAAUAAAAUACAAAAAGGAAAGAGGGGAAAAGAACAAAAGGAUCGAUCGGAGUUAAAAGAAUAGCCAAUAUAAUCUCAAUAAAUAAUAUUGCUUGGUGGGGGGAGACCUCUGAUUCCCUCACCCCUCUAAAAACAAAAGAACCCAAAGAAUUUUGGAAAAACUAGUAAUAACUUUAAUUCCUUCAUUUUUUUUUUCUCAUUUACAUAAUUAACUCCCCCCCAAACUCUCUUCAAUCUCUCUCUUUCUCUCUUUCAACUGUUCUAUGUCCCGUUCUCACUUCGGUUUGAAGGGAGAGGAUUAGUCCUUGGUACGUGGAGUUGCCACAGCAUUAUUUGGGAGCAAUCGGAGGGGAUCCCCUUGAGCUUUGUAUCAUCUUCUAGUACUACCUCUUGGAGAAAUGUAAUGGAGUCCUGAGAACAAAAUAUAAUUUUUUAUUAGCGGUUAUAUUGGAUCUAUGAUACAGGGAAUAUGUGCAGGUGCAGUGGGGCUGUGGGCGGGUGAGGUUUCUUAGAAAGUGUGGUUCAUAUUGGGAGAGUCCCAAUCAAUGGACCCUCCUACAUAAUAUCGCUUGCUAGGGUUUGGUUUUGUUGCAUGUAGAGCAUUAGGUGUGUAAUCAGUGGUUGCUUGGCUCUGGGGAUUAAUGACAGGGCAUUAGGUGACUGGUUACAGUUUUGAGGGAAAUAAUUGAGAGUAGAUGCUAUUCUUUUAGACCAGUUGGUGGUGAUUGAAACUUUACCUAAUGUUCCAACUGAAAGAGACUAAUAUCAUGCAUCUCAUGCAAUUUCUGGUGCUUUUUCGCUUUCGGGGCAGCUUCUCUACCAACAUCGUCGGUUUUUGGUCGAUAAAAGAUUCUAAAUAGGACUUUUUAACUUUGAAUUGUAGGAAAUUCCAGCUUAAACAUGCUCUCGAGCUAAAUCUAGAUGUGUUGGGCUUGACCAGACUCGAGAACAAUCUUUCUAUUCAAGGAGUAGAAGUCAUGGAAAACAAAAACUACAGGAAUUUCUACUAUGAAACGGCUAAGAUGUAGUGUCGAUAUCCAUGUUUAUGUGUACGAUGAAUAAGAGGAAAAAAAAAAAAAAACUAUUGGAGAUAUGCAAUGACCGGAAAAGGCAACAGAAGAGAUAAAACAUAAGAAUUUGGCUGACAGAUGUCGGAAAUUGAAGAAUUUGGCCGAAAAGAUCAAUCUAUGGAGAUUACCCAAUCAGUUACCGUAACUUAUACAGUUGGCUAAAAAUUUGAUGGUUGGUCUAAAGUUCGCCCCUUAGUUACUUCACAUUUUUUAAAAACAUAAACAAGCAGAUAGGUUGCUAUUUUCACUCUCUCUCAAGACAAUUAGAUUUACCCAAUCAUAGCUUUGUUUAAAAAAAUAUUGAUGAAGAAAAGAAAUGUAGUAGUAGUUAUGGGGAAAAAAAGGGACUUUCUUUGCAGGUACCAAAGCAGGUAACAAAUGCUCUGACAAUAUAUGUGUAUCAUUAUCCCUUAAAAACUUUGGAGCUAUCCUUCCACUUAAACCAUGAACCAAUAUGCCCAACACCAGAAACCUAACGUGCACCCAACCUACAAACCCUAGAAUUGUGGGAGGAAAAAAAUAUUGCUAUGUUUCUUAUAUAGCUUCCUAUAAGCAUGUGUGUUAAGCCUAUCAGAAUAUGUGUACAGCUAUUUUAUAUGUAUAAACAUGGGAGGAAUGUAGCAUUUGAAGGCAUUAUUCUGUCAAAGGAAUAGACACACCUCUUCAUUUUCCUAAUCAUCAAAUGCAAAAUACAUGCUGGCAUAAUAAAUUUAAUCCCCUUUUUCAAUUUGACUAUCAUAUUUCUUUUGGAAAGUUCAUUUUUUGUUCUACUUUUAUCUAAAAAGGCAUGAUGAAUUAAUUUGCGUCAAAUCAUAAAUACUUUUAAAAGGUUUAAAAAUUGAGGAUUUGUCUCUACAGUAGACUACUACUAUUUCUAAGCAUGAAGUGAUUAUUUUUAAUAGUAAAAAAGUCAAAUUUAGCCGAUCAGCUGACGCAAAGAGAUGAACACUAAUUCUAAAAAUUGAAAAUGACGACUAAAUCAUUUUGAUGAACACUUAUGCCCAAUUUAAUAUACCGGUGUCUUCAAUACUAUAAAAGGAUGGUGAAAAGUACUUGCCGGUUUUUUCCACGGCAGCUUUCACCAUCAUUUUUUUUAUAACAGUAAAAUAUUUUAGAUUGAAAGUGCUUUUGAUUUUUUUUUUUUUUUCUCCUUUAAGACAUCGCAAUCCUAAAUCAGACCCUAGUCAUGUAACUAAUUUUUUUCUAAUUUAUUUGUUCAAAUUAAGCACAAAAAACAAAGGGAAGGGGGGUGGGGGAUUUUGUUGUUCUAACCUGCGACGUGUCCGGCACGGUGGUGGGUCGGCCCCAGCGCUCCGGGUCCCACAGUAUGGAGCUGUUGAAAGCGAAGCGCGGGACGCGCAUCUUCGGGAUCUUCAAGGAGGUGUAUGAUGAUGAGGAGGAGCCCGUUGGCUCCGACGACCCAUUGGCGCUCGCGUCGUCGCUCUCCGCCGCGGAAGCCAUGUCGACCUUCCCCACAUCCUUCGAGAACCACCCCACAAUUUUUGACGACUUGCAAAUCGGCCCCUCCACCACCACCCUCUCCCUGUUCGCCGACACCAUCGCCAUCGGCCAUGUCCCGAACACCCUGCUCACCCAAAAAUAAAAGAACGUCCGGUUUAAAAUCUUCUAUUCUGAUGCCAUAUAAAAUUAUUCCUUUAUUUACUCUAUCUAACUAUUACAAUUACAUUACACUCUUCAUGGACAGUACAAAAUAUCCAAUCAAAGAUUCCCUGUAUCAGCAUGAUGCAAACAAGUAAUAAUAAAUGCAAAAUGUCAAAGUUAAAAGCAUACAUUAUUCAUAACAAUGAGAGAUAGAUAUUUAGUGGUUAAAAUAAUAAUACAUGGGAAUCUUAAAUAGUUGUUAAGGUAUUAGCAUCUGAUGUGAAGUAUUUGUUAAAGAUUGCGUGAUCAUUUCCCAUUGGUUGUUAAAUAUAAUGGAAAGGAUAUAUUAACUAACAGUGUUAAAAACUAAUGACCAUGUGUAAAUGUGGCAUUAGGUUGACCGCCACGUGUCCGGGUUGUAGAAACUUCCAAAAGCUAGGGUUGUUUAGGGGAAUUGGCACCGAAUUAUAUACUGCUGACACUGGAGGAAUGUACAUGGUCCUUUCAUUUGUUUUGUAACAACCAAAGUGGGGAGCAUGUGCAAAAGGUUAAAAAGAUCACACACUACGUUAGCUGGGUGAGAAUUUAAGAGGAAAGUGCUUAGAAAAAGGUAAUGCUUUAUCUUUUCCUCUUCUCUCAAACAUAUAAACAGAUGUAGGGGAACAACUAAAGGUGUUUUAUAGAAUAUGAAAAAGAAAAAGGAUGUUGGAGGGCAACUUCUAUUUGGGGGUCAACAACAUUUGCAAGGUUGGACUAUCUAUUAUAAUGGUAUAAACAUAGAAUCAAUAUUAUUUUUUUCAAAACAAGAUCAUAGUUGUUUAAUUUUGUUUCUAAAUAAAAAGAAAACAUGAAACUUAUAAUGCAGAGAAACUAAAGAACAUAAGCAAGAGGACAGAGGAAAUGGUGGAGAAAGAUGAGAUAAAAGGAUCUGUACAAUGUUUGAAGUAAUAUACCGUGUACCUCAUAAGAUACCCAAAAUAAAUAAUUGAGAAAUAAGAUUUUGAAACAUAAAGAUUCUAAAACAUAGUAAAUGAGGAAAUACUAAAAAGUAUUAAAAGAAAUAAUAUAGAACUGAUUUAUCAACUAUAGCUUUAAACUUCGGUAACAAAAUACUUAUGCACAUACGAAGAUGUUAAUGCUGUUAAGGAGUAGAAUGCCACAUCAUGAAGCAUAUAUGUUUAAUUACUAUAUUUGGUCAAACAAAUUAUUUUUCUCAAACCAACAGUGUUCCAUCCUAUGAUUAGGCAUCUUUACCGAAGCCACAGUAUUAAAAUAAUAAAUACCAGCUGCUAAUUAAGUAGCAAAAACAAUCAAAAACCCACUUCCCACAAAUGAAGUGUAUUAAAGAAAGAGGGAAUAUUACUAAGGAAAAUGCACAAAUCACACAAACACAAAGUAUUCCUAAAAAAAAUAACUACUUACUAAAAUGAAUAGAUUUCCUAAAACAUAAACUUUCAUAGUAAGACUAAAUACAUUGAAAAAAAAAACGAAUCUCAUAUUUAGGUAAGUAGCUAUUCAAAAAAAGAAAAGUCAUUUAGACAGGUUGAAAGAAAAAAAAAAACAAAAAUCUCAUAUUAAAAAACAAACAAAAAAAAGACCCCCACAUCCCCACCAUAAAUGAGGUUAAUAAAAAAA
rnacentral:lncRNA from 1 species